GGUUCGAAGGUUGGUUGGAAUUUAUAAAUUUGAUUAGAUUCUAUAAAUUUAAUACAUAUAUAAUAUAACGCCCUAAUAGUUCCAUAUCGAAUGGAAUACUCACAUCGAUCAAUUUAUAUGAGGUCUACAUGCUAAUAAUAAUAACUGGGCUUAAAUAUUUUGGACCGGUGGUUGGACCCAACGAGUUAUUGUUGCUAGCGGAUCGGGUCGUUACAAUUAGUAUCAGAAACGAAUAUCAGCCGGAAGUGUGAGAGCUAAGUACUAUACGGGGCAAAGUCCUAUACUAGUACAUCAGGGUCUAAAUAAGAGAUCGGAUGACAGUUUAUAUGAGGCCUACACGCUAAUAAUAAUAACUGGACACUCUAAUAAACAACAAGGGGUGUAUGAGAUUUGUCACUAUACAUUUUGAAAAUAUUUUUUUAUAAUCAUAAUAUAACAUAUAUCUCUAAAAAGAUAUAUUUGAUUGAUUUGUUCCGCAACGUCAUCGAUAUACACGAUAUACAGCAUUCUAGAAUUUUGCUCCUCGCGUUGGCCGGGAACGCGCCCAGGUCGCUGCCAGGUCAGCUGGGCCCCAUCCGAACCCGAGGUGGCACGAACCUCGAGGUUGUUGCUCCACCGGCUGUCGCCGGUCGCCCGAUAAACGGCCUCUCCUGCUCCCGCGCUCCGCAACCCACCUGGGGCGAUCAUUACCCGUCCCGCUCGCGUCGGCGCCGAGUAGCGGGUCCCACGCGUCCACCGCCACGUGUCCGUUGCCAAGGCCAUCGGUUAGGGGGACGGUUACACAACUUCUCACCCUUAUUAAUUGCACCCGAAAUUUUCACGUGACGCUUUACAAUUUCUCCAAAUUGUCCGCGUAUAGAAAAAAAAAAAAAAAAAAAAAAAAAAAAAAGAAGGUUCAACGAGUCAAUUUGUUAAAAUUUCGGAGGUGUUUGUACAUUUUAAUUUAUAAUUUUUUUUAAAAAAAGAGAGAAAGAUAAUAUGCUGUCACAUUAUUCAAUAAAAUUAAUUAAUUUAGCAAUAAAUUUUAAAUCCUAAAUUCUAAACUCAAAGAACAAAACUAAAUAAAUAAAAAAAAGAUAAAAAUGAGAAAACGUAAAGAGAAAGAAGAAUAACCCACUCUCUAUUACCACAUCAUACACAAGAAUUAUGGCUUAAUUCAUUCAAGACGCUUCGUUUCAAAUACUGAGAUCAUUAUUAUAAAUAGCUUUCUGAUUCAUUCAGAAUUUGCAAAAUCGAUCGACUUUUAAGUGGAAGGUGGUAGGACUUCUCUCGCGUCAAACAAUCCGCCAAAAUCUCACCACAUUACUUAAUUCUUGUCCAGCAAUGCUAUACUUCAGCCAAAUUUUACAAUACUUUACUAUUACACGUGGCAGUAUUUAAUUGAUAGAGAAGUAUAAAUUACGGAAAAAUAAGCACGAGUUACAAUUUCAAGGUUGAAAUCCAACUAUUAAAUUAUAAAAAUUCGUAAAACAUUAUAUAAGUAAAUAAAAAUGAACAUUUCUUUUUUUUUUCUAAAAUUAGAAAAAAAAAAAAAAAAAAAAAAAAAAAAAAAAAAAAAAACAAAUUGCGCUAGCUUGAUAGGCACGUCUCCCAAUCCCUCCUCGACAACUCUAUUAAUACGAGGCCUCGACCUCCUCUUCUCUCUUCUUCUCCUCUAUCUCGCUCUCUCUUAUACAAGAGAUUCUCCGUGUUUUUUUACGCCUUUUUAUUUUGUUAUUAUUGUGACAUUGUGGGGAUUUAAAUCCAUUCGAUAUUGAUUCAUCGAUUGCUAAUAUAGUAAGAUCAGGUACGAUUCGUUUUUUUUAAAUUUGUUUUGUUUUCGAAUGUUUUCCUUGAUCGAUUCAUUCAUUGUGUGAAGCGCAUUGCUCACGUUUCUUCCGUUUGCAUCUUUGAUUUGUUUCUAAAAUCUUGUUGCUUUAAUCGUUCGUUAUUUUCUUUUAGGUGAUUAGGAUCUUAUAGAAAACUUGUUUUUUUUAUGAAUCUCAUGAUUCGAUUUAGUUUUUCACUUUUUAGCACUUAAAAGUUGUGUUUCUUUUUUCGGUUUUAAUUUCCUGAUAGGGUAAAAAAAAAUAAGAGCUUAAAAUGGUCCAAAAAUUGGGACCCCAUAUGUGUUCCUCGAUGUAACAACAGAGCUAAUAAAAACCUACCAUAUUGAUUAUUGCUUGCCGAGAAAUAAAUGCAACUGUGUAUGAAUAUCCUUGUUUAUUUUUAUUUUUAUUAUUAUUGUAUGAACGGUCCACAAUUUUCUCCCUUUUUUUUACAUUUUUUUUUAUCUAGCCAGUUUAAAUGCACUUCCACAAUCAAGAAAAAUUAAAGUUUGUUUUUUUAAUUUUGUUAGCAUUUAAUGUAGUUUGUUUCUUAAUUUGUUAUCAAUGUGAUGUGGGACUCUAGUUCAAACUAUGUCCCUCACAUACAUAAUAUGAUAUAAUCAGGAAAAGAGAAUCAUUUUAUACGGAUUUUGUUGGUUAAUUUGUUGCCUAUUUUCAUGGAUUAAAAUGUUUUAAAACCUAAUUUCUCUUGAGAUUUGAAAGUGAAAUUUUUUUUUUUGUUUUUCUUGCUUCUACCCAUUAUUAUUAUUAUUAUUAUUAUUAUUAUUAUUAUUAUUAUUAUAACUGUACUCAUUAAUUAAAUCUCAAUUUCUCAAUUUGCAAUAGGUAGGUAAUUCUAAUUUAUCACAUGAGAUGAGUUUUCUUUUUUUUUUUUUCCCUCUUGUUAGGGUUAUACUUUUUAAUCAUGCAUAGAGAUUUGAUUGAAUCUUCGAUUACUUUGACUCACUCGUUAUUUUGUGGUAUGCUACAAAUCCUCAGGUUACAAGAAAUUUACUUUGAUUGAAUCCAGAUAUAAGAAAGUCAUUAAUUGUGUUAGAGUUAAAUAUUUUUAUUACUUUGACUUGCACCACCAUGACUUUGUCAUCUGGUGUGAAACCAAUUGCAUUAGGAUCUACAAGUUGAUUUUUUUAUUCAUGUUUUUCUCCUGAAGCAUGUUUCACAUUCAAUGUUCUAUUGAAUUACACUGGUGUUCCUCUUAAAUCUUAUUAUUAUACAAACGAAAUAAACACAGGUAUCUUUGUUGCUUCUUGCAGUUAUAACAAGUUUUCGAGCCAAAGUGGAAUUGCCUGAAACUCCCGUGAGCACUUCACCUCGAGAAUGUCCGAUCAUUGGCUGUAAAUGCUUUGCGUAUCUGGCAAUGUUAAGGUUUUUGCGCACACCGAUUCGAAAGAUUUUCCUAAAUUUACUGUGAAAUUCGCUCUCGUUUCCUAAUCGCGUUAUCGCUUUGUAUUCAGGUCUCAGGAAUUGCUUGCUUAUUGAUGGACUGCAUGCACAACUGCAGUGACAAGAAGACACUGAAGAGGUGGUUUUUCAUAGACAAAAGGGGUGGUUGAGAAGGAUACUACUUCGUUAAGACGACGCUAUUCGAAUCAUUCUCGAGUCGUGUGGAAUUGUUGUGCUUUUUCCGUUAAUCCAAACCCGAUGGAUUUGAAGACUAACCAUAGUUCCCCUGUCAUAACCGAUCCCGUGCCCGUAAACAAUUCGAUACUAGGUUUGCAUUCUAGCAUGAUGCCUUACGCGAGUUCCUCCGUGGGAUAUAAUUCUUCCGGGAUGUACGCAAACACACCCAGGAAAAAGGCCAUACCUGGUAAGCUCGGUGAAAUUCGAGCUAAUAGUCUGCUGGACGCGAUGACAGCCUCUUCGCCUCCUCGUAAGAAGCUUAAUAAGGAGUUUGGUUUAGAUGCCGCAAUCGAUGAAACUGAUCCAGCCUAUCGCGCUUGGACGGUAACUUUCCAAUCCUAUCUACUGCUUAUUGAAUAAUGGAAACUGUAUAUGAACUUUUUUUGUGAUCUGCUCCUCAAUCUGCAGAUGAGGUAUCCGUCAGCUUUAACUUCGUUCGACCAAAUCACGGGAUGUGCGAAAGGAAAGAAGCUGGCACUGUUUCUAGACUAUGAUGGAACUCUUUCACCUAUUGUGGACAACCCGGACAACGCUAUCAUGUCUGAUGCGGUAAAUUAACUUCUUUUCUUCUAUUACUUCAAAAGGAGUAACAAAUACUACCUUUUAUCGUAUAGUUCUCUGAGCAAUUUUGUUCACUUAACCUGGCAUACUACGAGCUGCAUUUGCAGAUGCGCGAAGCUGUUAAAAAUGUGGCCAAGUGCAUCCCUACUGCAAUUAUCAGCGGAAGGUCUCGAGAUAAGGUGCAUUACUUUUAUCGCUCUUUCUAUUGCCACUAAACAUACUGGUUAUGUGCUUGAUUUGAUGUCUUACAUACGUCGUAUGUUUUCUGACGAUUUUCCAUUUGAUAAUCUAGGUUUUCGAAUUUGUAAAACUAACAGAACUAUACUAUGCUGGUAGUCAUGGAAUGGACAUAAUGGGCCCAGUCAGAAAAUCUGAGCCUGUCGGUCACCGUCAGAACUGCAUUAGGACCACUGACAAGCAGGUGAAAGAGGAAUUUCUCUCUGCGCACAUCCUUUAUCAUAGAUAGGCCUAUCCUCGACGAGUCAAAUUAUGGAGUCGGAUAAGUUUAUGACAAUUGAGAAAAAUGAUUUGUUACGCGGACUAUUUUCAUUGUUCAGAUGAGGAUCGGUUGCAUUGUUGUUAUAUUUCACCGAAUUUGACGUACUCCAUAUCUAACUUCAAUUUAUGCUUUGUCACAGGGUAAGGAGGUGAAUCUUUUUCAGCCUGCAGGCGAGUUUCUACCUAUGAUCGACGAGGUAUGCGUUUCUCUCAAUAGCUUGCACUGCUACAAAUUGAUUCUGUCAGUAUAGUCUUUACUUAAAAGGAAAAUGGAAAGCUCACUUUCCUAUAAACACUGCAGGUUUUUAGAUCCCUCGUCGAGAUUGUUAAAGAUAUUGACGGUGCACACGUUGAGAACAAUAAAUUUUGUGCGUCUGUACACUACCGUAAUGUAGAUCCAAAGGUAACGCUAAAUCUGCAAAUCCCCUCUCCAACACGGUGGCUGACCUAUGAAUAACAAUCCGAUUUUUUCUGAACAUUGUAAUCCAGGAUUGGGACGACAUUGGCGAACGCGUGAACGCGUUCUUGAAGGCCUACCCUCGUUUGCGACUAACCCACGGGCGGAAGGUGAUGAUGAAUCCUCUAGCCGUUUUACGGUGCCCCAAUUCGUCUUCCUUUUAUGGCAUCUUCAAACCGUGCUUCUCGUAUUGUUGCAGGUUUUAGAAGUCCGGCCUGUGAUAGAUUGGAACAAGGGGAAGGCUGUUGAGUUUCUGCUCGAAUCACUCGGACUGAGUGAUUGCGACGAUGUGCUCCCGAUUUAUGUUGGGGAUGAUAAGACCGACGAAGAUGCAUUUAAGGUAAACAAAUCUAGUUAGUUGUUCAAAUUUAGGGCCCGUUUUGUUCGGCUUGGUCUUCUACAGAAAUGCUGUUUUGUGUCCAGCUAUUUGAAAAUACACCACCAACAGCUGAAGCCUAAUGCUAGAGCUUGUGCUGUUGGGGGCCGAAAAGCGCUCUUUUUAGCUUUUUACUCUAUAUUAGUAAGUACACAAUCGAUGAGUUUCUGAAUUGACAUCAGGUGCUGAGAGAGAGGAGCCACGGUUUCGGGAUCCUAGUAUCGACCGUGCCGAAAGAAACUGAUGCGUUUUACACUCUGAGAGAUCCCUCGGAGGUAAAACUGUAAACCUCAUACUACAAAGCUUGCUUCAUAUUCUCCUGAUUGUGAUGAAGAAAUGAGAUAAACUGCGCUCUGCAUAUUUCUGCAGGUAAUGGAGUUUCUGAAAUCACUGGUCAGAUGGAAGGAGGCUGCAUCAGAGGAAUACGAGGAUAAUGAGUCUACUACUGACCACUAAACAUUACAGAUAAAAAAGUUAUAGAUACAGUCGCAGAUAGACGACCGCAAACGAAUAAGCCCGGCUGCGGUGUGAGGCUAUCCUUUUGUGGCAGAACGUCAUUUCGUUUCUGCUUUGUUGCAUUUAUUUGUUUAUCUUGUGUGUUUCAACCCGUAGCCAGCAUAUUUAUGAAUAUAUAUACGUAUAUGGUGCUUCUUUUUUAUUUUUAUUUUUUUUAAGAAUCCGUUGCUGGUAUAUUUCAGUGGUCAUUUUUAUUCAUUAGCUCCUUGUAAAGGUACAAUUGUUGCUAAAUUAUUUAGAUUCAAUUUGUGCCUUUUUUGUUUUUUGCCUCUCUUUUUAUCAAUUAAAUUGGUCCAGAGAAACGACUUGAUGCAAAUUCAGGUGGCGUUAUUGUACAAGGCUUGCAACAGUUUAAUCUGAUAACAGAAACGGUUUAAAGUCUUCCUUAUUUGAGAAAAAAAAGAACUUCAAAAAUCAUUUGGGAAACACUCCAGUAUGAAACAAGCAUGGAAUGCAGUAGAGAAUGUCACAACAACAUAACAAACAAGGAAAUCAUGUUUGAUACUCGGUAACAAUUGAUGUCGAGUAGAACACAACCUGUAACUGUAACUGCCAGUUGAACAGCCUAAGCAACAAUUAUAUACAGAGCAGGAGAAGAGGCCACAAGACUGAUCUGUAAGAGAGAAUGGCAUAACAUGCUAUAUUCUCUUAAUUUGGAACAUCGUGUUUUACCUUGCUUGCUCCAAAUACUAUAGCCUCUUCUGCAACGUGGGAUCGACAAUGACUUGGGGCACAUAAUCUGGUUUUAGGUACUUGUCUAGCGUUUCUGCAUACAACUCAUAGCGGGCUGUCAUGCGGAAACCCCACUUGUCUUUUAUCUGGCGGCACAGGUUUAGAUCCAUAUCCGACACCAUUAAUCCAUCUCGAUAUCGCGACAAAGACGGUGUGCACGACGCAUCCGGGGCUGAAAAGUGGCUCGAACCGUAAAAAUGCCCGAAGUCAGAAUGCUGGGGCUUCCCAUCGCCAGAAGUGAAUGCGUUUGGGAAGACUUCAGUACCAACUCUAUUUAUUGAUCCGACGAAAUAGCUGUUUGCGAUGGCAGCAUUCCGUGCCUGAAACGUAAGUAGAUUUUAAUACCAUUUACUAUAUGUUUACCUUCAAUUCAAGAAUAUCUUCUUCCCCAAAAACAAAAGCUUCCAUUUGAAGCUUUUGCUUUUAUUGCAGUAAAAAGAUGCACAAGAGAUUUUAAUAAAGAGUAGGUAGUGCUGUUUCCAGUAGCUUCAGUAGGGGAAAACAUGCUGUCAUUCAUUAGCAAGAAAUUAAAUCACAAUAUCUACCAGUUAACUCACAGAAGUACACAAAAACAACAAAAUAUGCAAGGAAAAAGAAUUCAAAAGAGGCUGACCUCAAUUGGCCACAUUGGCUCACUAAGCUCCCCAACAGUUGCGGAAGGGUUGAAGACGAUCUCAGCCCCAUUGAGGCCAAAGACCAUCCAAUUCAAAGGAUGAUGCCUUCCAUAACAGAUGUUCACCCCGAUCUUCCCAAAGGCUGUUUCAAAAACUGGAUGUCCGGUGUUCCCUUCCAUAUAAUAUGUGCUCUCAUUGAAAUCCCCCACCCUUGGAAUGUGAUUCUGAUAAAGAUAUAUGACGACGGAAGCAAAAUUUAAUACAUAAACAUAGAGUUGAUCGCAGUCGAUAAAAGGAAGAGAAGCAUAUUGUUUACCUUUCUGUGAAUGCCAACUAUAUUGCCAUGGUUUCCAAUUACAACAGCAGUGUUCCAUAUAGUUUCUCCAUGAUUCACGUCUCUUUCGAGAAUUGGAUUCACAAUAACCAUGUUAUAUUUCCGUGCGAGGUCCUGAAGAAACUGAGUGGACUCACCAUCAACAGGCUCUGCAAAUUCACACCAUCUCUUCUCACGCGUGCAAAAAGCAAAAGGCAUCAUCCAAGCUUCCUGCAGUCAAGACGCAUUAAACUUAGUAGACCAACUAUUAGAUUCUCGAAUAUGCAAGCAAUCACGUGACGACACUAUCACACUACAUUUUUGGAAUUUGGAGUUCGUCAGAGAAAAUAUACUCUAAGCAGUGGGUACAGUAUUUACCUGUAAGCAUAAGAUGUUGACACCGAAAGCACCAGCAGCUUCGAUCAUGGGUUUCACUUUCUCCCUGAUAGCUUCUUUUUGUUCAGCAAAAUGGCCAGUAGUGGGAAGAGCAAUAGAGUUCUGAAUAAGACCAACACGAGCUAUUCGAGGUUGCCGCAAUAGCUCUUUGUCAGCACAGAAGCAGAAAGCCUGUAUAAAGUUGAAAAGAAGUUACAUAUGCAAAAAGCUGAAAGAUAAGUCAUUGAUUGCACUGACUAUUUUUACCAUUGUUGCUUUCUGAACAAAGUCGAACUUAAUUCUGAUAUUAUCAACAAAGCAGCAUCAUACUAACUUUCAAUAUUUUUCAUUCUUACAAGAAGAUGCAUUUUUUUUUUUUUUUUUUUUGCUAAUUAGCAAACCUAAGAAGAUAAAUAUCAACAAAUGCCUACUGGAUAGGUCUCAAACAUGAUCAAAAGUUCUUUUUUAUAAUGUUACCUCUCGGUAAGCAUAUUUUGCAGUAUAAUCUGCGAAAUGAACUAUGAUAGAGACUCUGAGGAGUGCUACGUGUGCAUGCACUCGUGCGUGUCUGUAUAUCUAUCUAUAUGCCUGUUAAUCAGUCUAUCUGUAUGUCUGUCUAUCUAUUGAGACUAUAUAUGCCUAUAAUUUUUCAGAUUUUGAGAGCAUUUAAUAUUUACACGGAAGAUUCAGUAAUAAUUUUUGGUUCUUGAAAACUACAAAUGCACUGGAUUUUCUCUAAAACAUGGUUUAUUAGUUCAUAUAGGAUUUAAAAGCUUGUAAUAGACUUAUUUCCACUUGUGAUAACAGGGAAAGCUCUCAAAAAUCAAAUCAAAUGAGGAGAAAGGAACAACCAAAGAUUGGGUGGCUCUAACACAAUCACCUAAUCUGAUGAAGCAAGCUAAAAAUACUAAAGAAGCUAGCUAAACACCGAGCGCCAUCUAUUUCUUUAACAAAAGCAUCUUCUGACGAUCAUUAGUAUGAAGACAAAUUGUGAAUCACACAAACCAAACCCAGAUAAACAAAAACAAUCAGGGAAGAGAAUUACCUGCAGAUCAAAAUUGUGUUGCGUGGAGAGAGAAGCCGCAGCAUCCGGCAAGGCCAAUCGCUCAAGAGGGCGCCCGCAGUUUAGCCCCAACAACAUGCGGCUCACUUCCUGUGCACGAAUAAGUUGCAUCCAAUUAUCAGUAAAUACCUUGCCCUGAUAAUUUGAUCUCAACCUUAUUACUCCGACGAUUUCAAGAAACGGAUUCCAAAAACUUGCAAUUCGAUAAUGGCAAAACCCUAGAUCACCUAAUUAGAUGUUGAUUCAAUCCAACUAUAUUUGGAUAACCGGUCCGUUUGAAUCUUCAAAUCUAGGCAAGAACAGAUAUCAACGAAUUCGCACAUCGAUCCUAACUUGAUCUCAGAUUAAAAGAUGCGGAGAAGGGAAACCCUAGUAGGCGAACCUGGAAGAGAGGGGGCUCGAGGUGGGCCUCGAGGAGGCGGUGUAGGGAUUCGAAGCCAUGGAUGGAUCCCUCCGCACGGGUCUCUCCAUUCUCCUCCUCUUCUCUCUUGCUUCGCGAGCCUUCCAUCGCUCCUGCGCCUCCCGAAUCGCGGAGAAACGCGACGCGAGAAGGGCGAGAGAGGAAAGAGACGAGGAAGGAGAAGAAGAGAGUGGAGUUUCGCGCGAUCGCAUACUUGCGUGGCGACGCAGCUCGUGCGGUUUGGGAUAUUUGCUGUUGAGGUUGAAUAGCCAUUUCAAUAUUCAUCCGAUCGAAGCAACACGCGUGUGUGAAAGAGACACGUGGACGUCAGAGGAUGGUUAAAUAAGUUGUUCGCUGUUUGAGGCCACACAGCAGAUCUAAUAUUUAUAUGGGGCCGCUUCAACUAAUCUUCAGUGUAACAGUUAUCGUCACGGAAUCGACUCUGACACCGUUUAUUAGAGUGAUUCGGGCUAAGUUCAUUCAUAGUAAACUAAUUCAGUCCACAAGUUUAGUCCUUUUAGGAACUAAGGGUAUUAAUGUCUCUUGAGUUUCGUGUAUCUGAUUAAGUUCUUUAUUUUUCUACUUCAUAAAAAGGGAAUUGGAAUGCAAUUUUUUAUUUUUUUUGAGAGAGAUAAUAUGCUAUUCUUUUCAUUUUAUUUUAUUUAGAAAUAAAUUUAGCUGAAAAUGUCAAGCAACUAACAUUCGAACUUGGGACCUCGAAUACCAACUAUCAAGCUCUUUGUCACUUGCUCUAGAGACGGUCAGUAUUCAAAUGCGAUUUUAGUUCUACGAAAAGGUGAUGUUCAAUUUGGGAGCUUCGUCAUAACUGCUACACUUGUAGUAACUAAUCAGGAAAAAAAAUUCUGAUGCGGGACAAUAAAAUAUGCAACAGUAAUAACUGACACAUUUACAAGGAUCAGGGCUUUUCACCCCCUAACAAAAGGGUGAUAAAUAGAUUGUAGAAUAACUCAUAGAUGAGAAAGAUAAAUAAUCAUGUUAUUACAAACAUUAUUGUAAGGUUAAAAAACCUCUAUUUUCCACGCACUUUGAUCAUCGACCAUCUUCGCUUGUCAAUUAAUGGGUUAGAGACUAAUCCGCAGAGUUGCGCGACCGGAUUGCUAGAGACGCAGCUACUGCUGCUGAAAACUAGUAGUUGAGAUAAGAGAUGUCGCCGUCGUCGUCGUCGUCCAUUGCUUGAAUUAAGUGUGCCCUGAGGCUUAGUUCAUGCAUCUGCCAAAAAAAAAAAAAAAAUGUAACUCAAAAUGUCAACAUGCAUAGUAUUUCAUAAAAUAGAAACAUAUAGUGAAUCACGUAUGAAUUUUACUGGUUUUAUAGAACAAUAUUCCGUUACCUCUAAUGUAGUGAUUACUUUAGACAGUUUCACUAGUUGUUGUAGCCCUUCUAUUUCUAACAGUAUCAUCUCUUCAAGUUCUCUGAGAAUUGAGUUUGUAGUCUCAGCCUGCAUACGAAGAUACGAACAAAAACAAUUUGACAAGAAAAAAAGGGGGGAAAAGAUUGUAUAUCAUAAUUUCGGUGAAAAUGUAAUUCAAAGAUUAAUUCAGUGUUCUCAGACUUUUUGAAGAUAUUAUGUAAAAUUAGUAGUAAGUUUCAUCUAGCAGUUAACUGUUGUGCAAUUAGGGAACAAAAACAGGAUGUCGGAAUAAUAAGCUUAACUUUGUUAAGCUAAGGAUCAUUUCGUAGCGAGGAAACCAUUGUUUACGAAGAACAAAAGUUAGAUGGUAUAAUCUACCGACGGUAUCGAACCUUAGAAUAAAAUGUCUUGGUGUUGGCUUCGACGUCUUUCAUGAUGUCCAUUGAUUCGCGAAAGUAUCUAUGUAGUGACACCAUGUUAGCCUGCAAUGAAUACGAGCACAGUUAGUCAUAUGUAAGGAUAGAGCUAGCUUAAUCAGCAUUGGCAUUUUCUCCUUUACUUACUAAAAGCAAGUUAUGUUCUUCGCAAGUUCGGAUUGUCGGAUAUCGAACCUAACUUACUAAAAGUUCAUGAACUAUACAGGACAGUAUACCCAUUUUGUGUUCGUUUGUGAGCUUCGUUUGGUUUUGGUAAACACAAACCUGGGCGCCCUCGACCAACGGAAGGGAGAUACACGCCGUGCCCAAGACCCGGCCCAAGACGGCCACUGCUUCGUUAUGUUGUUUGGCGAGUGGCUCCCACCUAACGAGUAGCUGGACCUGCAGGUUCAAUAUACGCAUCAACUUCAUCUUCUGCCGCCGUCUCUGAACCAUGAUAUGCUUUGCGGCUAUCACUUUUCUCAGCUCCGACACUCUUACCCACGCAUAGAAGAGUUUCUUCUGUUAAUAUUACUAAUGAGUCAGUAUUAUAAAUAUUUUAUGCGCUAACGAAUACCUAUGCUUAACGUUCGCAAUUCGAUGCUAACACAUCAAUCAGUAGAAGCCCUUUAUCCGAUAGUACACACUGUCAUAUAUGUAGGACACAGAUUCACUAGAUUCGAGUUUAGGUUAAGCUCGAGGUGCGCGACUUUUCAAAUAGAAAUAUAUUAGUUGUUCUGUAAAUCAUGGCCCCUCUUAACCUACAACCUUCAAUUUCUAAGUUCACAGAAAAUUCGAACUCCUGACCUUGAUUUUGUAUACAAAAAGUGUUGCCGAAGUACAAAGAAGAGAAAAUGCUUUGCGUCCGCUGACUUUUGAUAUUCAGUGGUGGUUUAACGCCCACUGGUUUGGAGGCUGGAGAAGCCUUUUUGUGGCACCGACGCGGAGGUGCGUGGGCCCAGCUCUAGUUGAGCACUUAUAAUCUGAUCAGUAGCCUUGGCCCAAUGGAUCGAUCGAGUAUUAGCAUCAAUAGUCGUGCCAUAAACGGAACUGGAUUAAGUACCGUAGGGUGUAGCGGCAAUUUCCUCUUCUUCUUUUUUUUUCUUUUUAAAUACCAUUUUCAUCGUAAUAUGACAUUUUUUAUUCAGAAAAAUAUAUAUUUGUUCAAUUGAAGUUACCUUAAAAAAUUUGUUUUUUUAUUUAUCUAAUACUUCGAGAUACUGAUAAGAUUAAUGGUCAUGAAAGAAGCAUUUUAAAAAUAGAAGAAUAUAUAGAGACUUUCGUACGUCCUUGAAUUUUUUGGACUUUUUAAAAGUACCAAUUUGAAUGCGUUUGAAUGAAAUAUACAUAUUUUUUCCAAUGGUAAGCCUAAAAUUCCUUCGUGAGUUCAUUUAUUAGAAAUUUUAUUUUCAUGCCUCAAAUUUAUCUCUGUUAAUGGUUUACUAAUUUUUUUUUUUAUCGCUUUGCAAAUAUGACUGCGAUUUAAUUAGGAGUUUUAUUUGUAACAAUUAUACUGCAUAGAUUAUAUAACAAGAGAUAAAGUGCAAGUGUAAAAAUUGAUAACACGAUAUUAUAGCAUAUGUUAUGUGAAUUUUAUAAUUGGAUGUUAUUCUUUUUAUACGGAAGAAUAAAUUGUGGCGGUAAAGAAAAGAGUUUCUCGAGACAGGCAUGCACGCACUUACCUGGGCCGCGGACUCGGCUCCGUCGAUCGCCACAGCGGCGUGGGCGUUGGCGAACCGCCAUUGGAGCAGCCGCGCAGCGAGGAUCCGGAGCUGGUGCGCGGCCUCCUCCUUGGCUGACGGCUCCUUCCUCCUCCUCCGGAACAGCCCUGCAAGUACCCCUCCCCCUCCAACCGCACCACCAUCGGCGCUCCUCCUCCUCCUCGGCGCCGCCAUCUCCGGAACCCUCGGCGGCGACCGCCCGGGGGAGAGCGCCCACGCCGACGCCCCGGGCCUCGGCCGCCGCACGCCUCCGCCGGCGCCGCCGUGGAUGUUCUCCUUGGCUCCGGCGCGGCGGAGCUCGGCGGCGGCGGCGGCGGCGGCGGGGGAGGGUUUGGGGCGGGAGAGGGAGAGGGAGAGGGAGAGGGAGAGGUUGGGGGAGAGGGGAGGGGGCUUGUCGGGGGAGGAGGACACGUGGCAGAAGCGGGAGGCGCCGCUGCGGCUGCGUUGGAGAAGCGGCUGCUUCCUCGGCCGCGGGCUGCUCGCCAUGUCUCCGCUUCGCGCGCGCGCGGGUGCGUCACCGGAGCGCGCGCGCCAGCGCGGGUUUUAUCGCUGUAUAGGACUUGAAUUACGACAUCACCCCUUACUUUAAUCUAAUUUGCUAACCAGCCCUUUCCUUUUUCUCCUUUUUCUUUUUCCUCUUUUUUUUUUUUUUAUGUCGCUAUUGAUAAAUCCAAAUACGUAUAUCCUGCACCUCUACUAAUGUCUAGCGCACUAAUCGAAAACUCUUGAAAGAGUUUGAUCUCUCAUUCGCAUAUUUUGUUUAAAAGUAUAGUAAUUUUUAGUGGAGAACUAUUUAAGAAAUAUAAUACAUAUCUUUUAUAGAAAAAGUUUUUGAAUAUAGAAUCCUAGUAUAGAAGAGUUCUUAAAAAUGUAGAGCAUGGGAAUAUAAUUAAUUAAUGGUAAAAAUGGAGAGAGAAAGGGGAGGGGUAUAAUGGGAAUAAUAAUGUGAGAAAUACUUGUGAGCACGUAUAUAGUGUUAGGUGAGUGAAAGGGAAAGGAACCCGUUUCGCAGGUGACCGAAAAGCUGUAUCCAUACAGAUCAUGCGCCAUUUGCGCUAAAUUUUUGAUGAUCAAUAUAUUAAAAUCAAAAUCUAAUUACAUAAUAGAUAUAUAUAUAUAUAUAUAAUUUACAAAUUUUUAAAAAGUGCUAUAUCAAAAAUCUAGUAACUCAACAUUUAAAAAGAAUCGGUGCAUCGAGUCGUAAACUAUUACAGAACGUAGCUGACGACAUAAAUUCCGAUUCUAAAAUCUCUAUAAUAAAAUCCUAUCGGUGUAUGCACGAGGUGCAUGGAAUAUGCUUAAUCCCUAGACUAGAAGAGGGGUCAAUUAGCAGGAAGCACGUUACUGUUGGAGAGGAAAGAGAAACGUCAACGUUGAAAGAGGUCUCGUGCCCCUUUAGCAUUGGUGUUGUUCCCACCCCAAAAUUAAAAAAUAAAAAAUAAGAAAUAAAAAAUAAAUCUUAUACUUUGAGUUUGUGUUUGUUCCCCAAAAACUCAGGGACAUGUUCAGGAUUUUAUGGCAAGUAAUCAAUCACUUUUAAUUCUUAUUCAUGUUGUUGCAUAUGAAUUCACUAUACUAGUAGUCGAAUCUGAAUCCGUUUUUUUUUUUUUCAAAUUGUAAUACUUAUUUGAUAAUCAGAUGUUUGUUUAAACGAUUGUAAUCGUCACAUAUAAAUAAUUCGUUAGGAGUCUUUUUUAACUUGGAUUCGUUUUAGGAGAUGAUCGAGGCUCACACGUUAGUAGUACCUGAGAGAGCCUAAUCCAGUGAGCAUAGAUAUAUAUGAAUAGAACACGCGAUAGUGAAAGCACGUUGGGUUUUUACUUUUUAGCAGAUGAGGAUUCAGGCAUGUUCACGUGUAGGAAAUAGCAAUGAUAGAUUUAAAUACCAAAUUGCUUUGGAAUCUCUGAGUUUAAAUAUAAGUUGAUGUUUUUGUUUUUUUGUAAAAUAAUACAAAGAAUAUAUAUGAUUUUGUGGUUACUCAAACGUGUUUUUGGCGUUUUUAUGAAAUGUAUCAUUUUAGUCAUCUUUCAUUCCACCUUAUGGUUUAAGACCUCAUUUGCAAUGAGAAAGUAAGAUGUUUUAACAUUUUCUUUUUGAUAUUCAUUAUUUGAUAGGAUAAUAUUAUAUAUAUAUAUAUAUAUAUAUAAAUUUAUCUUAUUUUCAAAGAAAUGGCUUGAAAGCCGAAAAUGAUCAUAUUCCAUUUUAAACAUUCGAUCACACUCUGUAUCUAGAAAUAUAUAAAUAUUUUAAGUAAAUUUAAGAGAUAUACUGAAUGAGAUGCUCGUGCAUUUAAAUAGAGCCUAAUAUGUGGUCAAAUAGUGCCACAAAAUAGACACUGACAAGAUCUAGUGAGUAACUAAAAACAACAUUAUAUGCAAGGCCCUACGAUGACAUUUAGGCCCAGCCCAUGUACAUCUAUUGGCCCAAAUAUGGCCCAAGCCCGGUUAUUAUUAUUAAAGUGUUAGCGAGCAAAGGUCCAAGUCAAAGUAUUUGUGGGUGGGGGAAAUUAUUUUGCGGAUCAAACUACACCAAUUAAAAUACAACAAAUAACUCAGAAAAAAGAAAAGCAAAAAAGUUUUAGUUCAAUUAAUGUGACUGAGCAUAGGGUGGCAAUGGGCCUGGAUACAUAUAAUCUCCUAAAUUCCUCCACAGUUUAAAUUUGAAAAAAAAUUUAAAUUUAAAUUCAAAUUUGGACCAGAACAAUCUUUGUAGGAAACGGCUUUAGGGGCAGGUGCUGUGGUCUUAACUGAGCAAUAAAAAUGUCUAGGUUAGAUACCAUUUCUCUAUUAGAAUUUACAUAAGCAUACAAACCACUAUAUAUAAGUAGAUAAGAUACUCCAUCUCAAAGACUCAAAACUGAGGUUAUUAGCUUGCUCGAGCACGAACCCGAACGGAAACCCACAUGGUGGUGGCGUUGGUCGGCGACGACCAUGUCAUAAAAUAUAAGAAUUGAUUCUCGUGUUUAUGCUUAGCAGGUUAGUUUCGUUCGUGCUAUAUCGGUGCAGGUGCGCAUUACAGAUUAGAUCACACAUAUCCACACAUCCACAACGUUUACUUUAUUAUAGUGGUAGUAUUAAUAAGAAAAUCUCAUAGUUACGAAGAACCAAACAAUGAGUACAUUGGAGGCAAUAAAAAUAUAUACAAUAGAAAAGGAGUUAACGCGGGUAAUAUAAUAUAAUAGUUUCAAACUAAAAUGAUUUAUUUUUAUAUUUUAUGCGAUGUUGAGAUAUUUGUUUAAAUAUUGUGAUUUUGAUGUACAAUUAGUUUAAUAUUAAAAAGGGGACUUUCUUUUAUUGGUGGGACAUCAUUUGAAUUCUUAUUAGGGUCCUAUAAAGGCUUAUCGUACAUGUUUCGUGAUACGACCUCCCCCUAAACAUGUCAUAACUUUGUGUACUUAACCACUAUACGGACAAAAUUGGGGUCAAAUAAUAAGUUUUACAAUAACUUAUCUAUCUGAUGCAUUGAACUGGCAUAAAAAAUUCAAUGACGAAAUUCACUUUUGAUUUGUACACGGAAGAUUACACAAAAAAACGAUCAUAUUUUGGACGCGGUCGCAGUGCAUUUCUCUAUCACAAUUGAUUGUUACUAUGGAAAAACUUUCUCCCUUAUUAAUUAGACCCUACCAAGUUGUGUUUACGGACAAUAAUUACUUAGCUGUUCCAGUAUUAUCCUAAUAUGUUACUUAAAAUAUUUAUCGAUGAAAAAUCAAAUUCGAGUCUGAAUUUGACAGGAGUGUGCAAAUCUUAUUUUUAGAAUCUUUAAUUCAAAACUUGAUGAGUUUUUAAUUGAGUCAUUGAAAAACUUUACUCAGCUUACCUUUUGAAUUAUUUUCCCCUCAGAUUAUUAGAUUAAUCAUGGAAUUAACUUAACCAACACAAUAAGGGGGGAAGAACCCUAGUAUAAGCCUUGUUAUAAUGAAAUUUUGAAUUAAACAAAUACCAGUGUCCUACUGUCCUCUAGUGGAAUUCGAGCUUGGUUUCCAAGUGGUUACGGAGUACAUUACCCAAAACAUUAAAAAAUACAUACAUAAGUUAAUAUCUUUUAAGCAAAUAUAAAUAAUUCAAUAAGUGAUUCAACUAAUUUAUUAAUUAAUCACAGCAAUAAUAAUAAUAAUAAUAAUAAUUGGUCUUUAGAAAAUCCUUAACCUUCCCCAGGCCCACCCUGUCCUACGUACAUACGACUCGUAAUUAAUAAUUUGUAAGCUUCUUAAUUUGGCUCCUUCUCAUUGACUUAGUCAUCGUGUGUCCGCCACACGCUGUGAAGCCACGUAGAUGUCCACGUCAGAUAUUUCAGAUGAUUUUCAGAAAAUGCUUUGGGUACAAAUUUAUGUAGCAUUUUAGUUUUUGUUCAACAGGAAAUUAAAAUUUAGCUAAAUUACAGAAAAUUUUUUUAUAAAUAUUUUUUUUUAUUUUUUCGUAAUUUUUAAAAAAUUAUAUAUUUUUUUAAUAUUUCAAGUUGUUAUAUUUAGUCCCCUUCCGUUAGGAUUUUUAUUACUAUUCUAUUCAUUUCUUAUAAUUUAUACUGAAAAUAUCCUUCAAAAUAAUAAAAAUAUGUUAAAAAAUUAUUUUUUUUCUUACAAAAAAAGUAAUAGUAGUCUAAUCAUUUUGCUCUCUCCAUUAAUGCCAUAUCCUUCUGCAAAUUUUUUUGAAAUUUUAAGUGGGCAAAAUAUAAAUUUUUAAAAGUCAAAAAGUGAAGAAAAAAAAAAUUAUGUAUAAGAAAAUUUUCUGUAAUUUAGUCUUAAAAAUUUUAUAUAUUAUAUAUAUCAACAUGUCAAUAACUUAUAAAUAUAAUAAUUUGCAAAACUCGAGAUAUUUGUAAGGGAGUGAGAUAUUAGGGUCCUACUAACAUAAAAAGGAUAUUUGGUGGGUGAUAAUAAAAAAAUAAUAAUUAAUGGUGGUAUCAACAGUAGUAGAAAAUUCAAAUUUAAGUACUCGGAAUAAUUGAGAGGGUUUAUGCGAUUGUCUUAAACUAUAUUAUGCUGUUCUUUAUGUAGUUUUUUCACUUGUUACAUUGUACCAAAUUGUUUUUUUCAAAUUCAAACCCUAUAUUAUAAAUAACAAACUAUAAUUUCAUAUAAAAGUUACUAAAAAAAAAUACUGAUUGAAAGUUGAAUUGAUUAAAAAAUUACUAGUUGAUUUCAGAAGCCAGCUGGAGCAGUUUUAUCUCUGUCAUUGCUCAUGCAGUAUCAGAUAAUGCUUUGCUAUGUCAAGCUGGAUAAGUGUGCAUCUCUACAUAUGGUGGUGAUUUCACAAAUAUCUUAUUCUCUGUGUCUCUUCCAUCCUAAUUCUAUUAUUAGUGGUGGUGAUUUACAGAAUCACAAAACAUAGUUUUCAGAUGCUACAGAUGUUGUAUAUUGUGGAUCUGAAUGUUCUAUCUUUGAAAGUGAUUUGACAAAAGGUAUGAUGGUUGGUAUUCGAGACCCAAAUUCGAAUUCUAGUUGAUUCACAUAUAUAGCUAAGUUUAUUUCUAAUUAAAAUAAACGAAACAAAUAGCGUGCUACCUUUUUUUAAAAAAAAAAAAAAAAAAAAACUAAUCAUAUCUCUUUCGUCGAAAAAAGAAUGUAAAAAAUAUUUCGGAAAAAAAUCAUGAUAGGUGAGUGAAUUUCAAAACAAAUUAGACACCAUGCUGUCUUAUGUAACCGUUGUAUUCUAGACUCUUUUUUUUUUUUUCCAAACUCAGACACAAGAGUACACAACAAUUGGACCAAGUGGAAAUUAAUUAAGCAUCAUCAUUUGUACAGUUGUACACUUGUACUUUCUCUUCCUCUGCUUCCUCCUCUUCUACAGUAGUCCACCGUAUAUAUGGAAAAUACUAGCCGGACAACAGGUACAUAUAUAUAUAUAUAUAUAUAUAUAUAUAUAUAUACACACACACGGCAACAACUCCUGGGUUGGGGUUGUGAUUUUGUUUUUUAUUAUUCUUCUGUAACAAUUAUCUAAUUCUUUUUUUGUAAAUAUAGGUUGUGAUAUCACAUACGACUUAUCGUGGGUAAAAAACUGGGUCGUGGCAUAUGCCCAGGAACAUGCUUGACCUUCUCUUAGUAGGCUUGGAUCCAUCCAACUUAGUUUAUAUAUAUCUCUUUAUUCGAGAAUAAACUCUUUUUUUUUUAAAAUUUUCCCGCUUGAAUCCCAACUUAGCAAAUAAUACAAUUUCUUAUAUUACUAUUUUUAUAUAUAUUUUUUGUCGAACGUUGAUAUUAUAAAGAACAAAAUAAUGAAAUAAUUUAUUAUUUAAUUUCGGGAAACUCGAGGUUAGGGCAAGCCACAGGGGACCGCAAAUCCAUAAAUGGAAAUCCGAGGCCGAGAGAAACAAAUUAGAAAAAGUAAAUAAAUCCGACAAUUUUCUUUUUCUUUUUCUUUUUUUUAUUUAGCUUACGCUAACGCAUCACUCUCUUCAUUAAAUAAAUUAAUAGGAUAAUAAAAGCACAAAAUGAAAUAAACAACGUCACAAAACCCUUCCCCCUCUCUUUAAAAUUACAAACUCGAAUCUCCCCCCCCCCCCACCCCCCCCCCACCUCCUCUCUCUAUCUCUUCGCGGAGUGUCGAUCUCGGGAAUGCGUUGGGAAACGCCGCGAUUUCGCAGCGUCUCCUGAUUCGACGGAGAGAUGGGUUCGAUCGGAGGCUCUCGCGGCGAGCGCCGCCGCCGCCGCCGCGCAGCGGCGGCGCUGUGGCUGAUCGCGGCGGCGGCGCGGCGGGGCGGAAGGGGGCAAGGGGGGAGGAGGGGGGAGCGAAGCGGAACGCGUACGCGGCGAUGAUGUACAUGGGGACGCCGCGGGACUACGAGUUCUACGUGGCGACGCGGGUGAUGAUGCGCGCGCUCGCGGGGCUCGCCGUCGACGCCGAUCGCGUCGUCAUCGCCUCCCUCGACGUCCCCCACCCUUGGGUCCGAACCCUGUGCGUUUCUCUCGCCACCACCCCCUUUUUGUUUUCUUUUUUGCUAAAUUUUGUUUUGUUAAUUUGUUGUUUAGUUUUACUUGUGAAUUGUACGGUCCGAGCGAAAAAUUUUGACGGUUUCCUAAUUUUGGGGGAAAAGGACGAAUUUUUGAAAAAAAAAUAAGCCAAUUUUAUGCCCUAUCCUUAAAUUUUUAUAACGUUCUAAAUUUGAUUCUAUGUAAACUAAUAAAUUUUUUUUAAAAAAAAUUAAGUUGAUAAAAAAUAAUAUUAAAUAUUUUAUGUUCAAUCCUUUUUUUUAUGUAUUUUAGAAGGUUGAGGACAAUUCGUAUUUUUUUAAUUUAAUUAAUUUUUUUAUCUAAGUCGAUGGUAGUCCACUUCAAAUCCGAAUCUGUUGACUCUCUCUCUCUCUCGGUGAUUUUCCAUGAACUUUUAAUUUAACCCCUGGUUAUUUCCUAAAUAACGAAAUUACCACCGUGUUUUUUUAAUUUAUAAAUCUUUGGUCAUCACUUUAAAAGAAUAAUUUUAAUUCUAUUCUAAUAUAAUUUGGUGGUGAUAUUGUAAAAUCAUUGUUAAGAUCAACAUAUAUAUAUAUAUAUAUAUAUAUAUUUUUUUUUUUUUUUAUAUGAAUCUAAAUCUUAGAUUGAUCUAAAAAUGAUUUCGAUUUNUGUUUGUUAUAGGGAGCCAACACUCUCAUGAACUCUUGCUUUAAUUUUUUUUUUUAAUCUGUUUUUAUUAUGAUCACAUCAAAACAUAGACAAGGUCGUUACGAGGGAGGCGAAAAUUCAGAGCUCAGGAGCGCACAAAUAAAUAAAAGAUAAAAAAUUCAAUAAAAUUCAUCUAACUUAUUGACCUAUUGUUUUUAGUAAAUUUGCAUCGCAUACUUGGCCUAAAUCACACUCAUUUUGAUCAUUUCCAAUUAUGUUGUAUAAAAGCAUUGUAUUAACUUACACAAUGAUUUCUUAUAUUAUAUACUAGAUCAUGCUUUUCGGGUCUCAAUGCAGGAGAUUGGAAUUGGUGCAUGACACCAAGUUUCCGAUUCUCAGAAUAUUAUUGAUGUUCAAAACUCGGUGUUAAAUUGAUGACAAACAGGAAAGAGGAGGACGGGGUGAAGGUGGUUUCGGUCGAGAACUUGAAGAACCCUUAUGAGAACCAGGGCAACUUCAACACGAGGUUCAAGCUGACGAUGAACAAGCUUUAUGCUUGGAGCCUGGUCGAAUACGACCGCGUUGUUAUGCUCGACUCCGACAACCUCUUCGUCCAGAAGACCGACGAACUAUUCCAGUGUGGCCAGUUCUGCGCCGUGUUUAUCAACCCCUGCAUCUUCCACACCGGCCUCUUUGUCCUUCAGGUAAUGGAAAAGUACUAACUUCGAAUUUGAAAACACAUUCAACUUCAAAUUCUCACCGCGUGUCCUUCCAUUCUCUUGUAUAGCCUUCGAAGGAAGUGUUCGAUAGCAUGCUUCACGAGCUAGAGACCGGACGAGACAACCCUGACGGUGCAGAUCAAGGCUUUCUAGUUAGCUACUUCCCGGAUUUGCUCGAUCGGCCGAUGUUUCAUCCACCCGCGAACGGUACGAAGCUCAACGGCACUUAUCGCCUUCCUCUCGGGUAUCAGAUGGACGCUUCCUACUUCUGUGAGUACAAUCUCCCCUAUUUUCGAUCACCUUUUGCUUCAUCUGUUACUACACAAGGACACUGAUGGAGUGAUCGUAAUCAAUGAAACGUUCCCAAACAUUUUGAUGUAGAUCUAAAGCUUCGAUGGAACGUUCCCUGCGGGCCAAACAGUGUGAUCACAUUCCCCAGUGCGCCGUGGCUAAAACCAUGGUAUUGGUGGUCUUGGCCCGUUUUACCGUUGGGUCUCUCAUGGCAUGAGCAGCGGCGACAGAAUCUAGGGUAAGUAUACUUUUAACGUGCAUGGAAAUUGAGACAUUGUAUCUUCUUUUGAUUCCUGAAACAUGUCCUGCUGAAAUGUACCAUGAAUAGGUAUGCAGCGGAGUUACCGGUGAUCCUAAUCCAAUCCGUGAUUUACAUCGGAAUCAUUGCAGUCACGCGACUAGCACGACCGAGUCUGUCAAAAUUGUGCUACAACCGGCGGCCCGAGAAGAACACCGCCUUUGUACAGGCCAUGUUAAAGGUGGCGGCAAUGUGGUCCAUCCUCGCUGCGUACACCGUCCCCUUCUUCCUCAUCCCCCGCACGGCUCACCCCAUCCUCGGAUGGUCUCUCUACCUCCUCGGUGCAUCUUCUCUCUCGUCCGUCGUGAUCAAUGUAUUCCUCCUCCCUCCACUCACAGUCCUCACUACAUGGCUGGGGAUUGUGGGAGCGCUCUUUGUGAUGGCAUUCCCGUGGUACUCGGACGGCGUUGUUCGGGCGUUGGCAUUGUUUGGUUACUCAUUUUGCAUCGCUCCGCUCGUGUGGGCAUCCUUGGGGAAGGUAAUGGACUCGUUGCAGGUCUCGAUCGAACGCGACGCGUUCUAUCCAAGACUGGGAGAAUCCACACCGACAACUGAAUUUAGCAAGCUGUAUUGAGGUGAUUAUUCGAUUGGCUAGCAAAUUUUUUUUUGUUUUUCACUGAUGAUUCUCUGUGGUUUCAUUUGUUCAUCACCCGUCUGUAGAAUUGCUAGUUAUGAUGAUUGUAUCUGUUGAUGAUAUAUAUAGAACAGGUGGAUUGAAUGGGAAGGUGUGUAUGGGGUGUUGGUGUAUGUGGGAGCCGGGAGGGGUAAAUAUUCAUUGAUGGAUUUAGGUUUUUAGAGGAGCUUGAUGUUUGUUGUAAUCCAUUUAAUUUCUACCCCUUGAAUCUGAGGCUUUGUUUUUUUUUUUUUUUUGGUUUUCUUUCUCCACCUUCUUUCUUCUUUUUCUAUCUAGAACCUCCCACCGCCUGAUCUCUUCUCUCUCCUGCCUCUUUUCCGGUGGCCACGAGUAGCCGGGAAGGGGGUCUCUCCCUUUUUAUUUUUUGUCGUUGUCCUUUAUUCUCUGCCAUUGUCCUUUUUUGUUGUGCACCGGUCCUUCGGGACCGGUGAGUUGAGAUGAACUCGACAUAUUUGAUUUUUUCUAUGCCGCUCAUUAUGAUAUUCUUUCUCCGGUCGGAGUAGUACUCCAUGAGGCCCUGCGGAUCUCUGCACGCAACUGGCAGCUCUUUCGGUGCUCUAAAAUAGUUCUUGGUCAUGUAGUUCUUCCGUAGAUUAAGUGAUAUGCUUCUACACCGCUUGUUUUCUUACUCAAUCUAUAUCAGUUGGUCGUGCUUUUAUCGAAUUCUCACUCGGAGUUAAUGGAGCUGUGCAUUUGGACCUGCAUAUUUCUCUAAUCUUUGGGAAUACUUUUGAAUAGUGUUUGCUUUCUAUUAAUAGUUUACUUUUGUACUCUUAUUCUCUUUAUGUUAUACUUUUGAAUACCGAUCUAUCAAUAGAAUCUUAUGGAGUUUCUCUAAAAAGAAUGCGAGGCGUUCUGAAUCAAACGAGAUGGUCAAUUAGUCCACGUUGGGUUUAUUUAGAAAAAAUUUCCUCUUAUCUAUUUCUUGAUUGUUUUCGCUGCUUUGUGUUGGUGUAAGAUACCAAGUGUCAUUUAGAACAAGGCCAAGGGCAUGCACAGCAUUUGUUUUUGUUAAGUUGGUUCUUUCCCUGAUGCUUGUAUGGUUGUCUAAAGUUAUUUUGUACAAUAAAUUAAUUAAUCAAACAGAGCUUCACAGUAGACAAGGUAACUACAUAUCAUGUUAUACAAGCUAAAGAUUCCAUUAUUGCCUUAAUUUUAAAUUCGAUUUCUUUUUCUAAGAGGCAAAUGUUCUGAGCUGUUCAUCAGAGUUUUAAACUAAGCUACUAGUCUUUUUCUAAGAGUUCGUAUUAAGUGAUUGCUGCAACCAAUAAUAAACCAGCCACAAACAAGCUCCUUACUUUAUUUGUUCAAUGGAAUGGAAAAAACUGAUUGAUUACUGUUACAAUAAUAAAUACUUUAGUCAUCACAAAUCAGUUACAACCACUUAAUAUCUAUUUGCUCAUUCUCACAAGAAAUCGAACUAACCGAUAAUCAGUGUUAAACUGUUAAGUUCAAUGAAGCAAACAAAUGUAAUAUGCACAUAAAGGAAAGAAAAAAGAUUGCAGUACUCGAUAUUUUGCUGCGAUCAAUUUGUUGCUUUGUCAGGAAAAUUGUCCUCAUAAUAUUCAGUUUCUUGCUGUGACCGUGCUCUCAGUUUUUCCUGCAAUUCCAAAUUCUUUGGAAGGACGAGUUCAGCCCCAUGGCCUGACAUUGAGAAAUAUCUCUCCAGCACCAUCUGUACAGAAAACAUUAGCGAACAAAUUGAUAACUAAGAUGAUAGUAAAGAAACUUACAAGUUAAAUUUAAUACGACAAAUCAUACCACGGCAGCAUAGGCAUCAGAUUUUGUUUGGCGAACAGAUUUUUUGAGGCCCCUGAAAAAAUAGCAGUUGUUGAGAGUAUCAUCUUUUCGUUAGUUCCGGUAACAGUUACUGUCCAUUGCUAUCACAUAAUUUAGAAAUCGUAAAGAAUAAUAGAUAGGAUAUUACAAAAAGAAAACUGUAAUGUACAGAACUAUGACAAAUAAACUUGGCAAAUACGAAGUAACCCACAUAUCAAUCAUAUAGUCGAGGGCAUCCAUUGAUGUUCCGUGCUCGUCUUGUAGAUAUACUCUCAAGCCUCUGCAAUGUUCGAUUAACGGCAAUUAAUAUUUGAUCCCACGACUUCGAAAGCGCAGAAAAAGAACACUACAUCAAAAGUAAUCACCCCUAAAACCAACAAUAAGUUCACAGUGAAGCGAAUAAUGUUAGAAAAGAACAUAACUGGCCCUUAUUAUUCUUCUACUUAAGCAUGUAGGAUUGAAAAAGGCAUUGGAAACUGUGAUGAGUACAAAUCAAAUUUGAACAAUGUUGAAAACAAAUUCUGGAGCAACUCUCUGUUUCGAACAACAUCAGCGCAAAAUCAUAAUUUAAACAGUUACAAACUAUCCAAGAUUAGAAACUCUACUGAAGACUUGAUCUUUAAGAUGUGAAAAUAGAUAAAACGAAGGGCAAUGUCGGAUCACAAGAUGCAGUUUAAAUAAACUGACAUUUCAUCAAGCACCUCUCGGCAGCGCGAACUGCGAGCCUCCCCGCAACGCUGCGAACCUUGUUCGAUUGCGGCGUUUCCGUCCUGCUGCGUGAUUUAGGAAGCCCAACAAUAAACUCAUCAACUUCCUAUGUAUAUUACCAAAUAGACUCGUCAUUCACAAUUGGAAGAGCAUAAUUUGUCAUCAAAAGAAGUAAAAUUUAAUUGAAAAAAAAAAACCUCUUUUUGGGCAAUUUCAAUGAGUCUUAGCUCGAGCUUCUCCCCCCGCAACUCCACUACCUAAAUCGAAGCAAAUUGGAGGGCAAAAGCGUGAAUUAGAAGGAACGGGAAUGGCUAGGGUUUGUGUCAGAAGAGUUACGGCGAGGGGGCGAGGAGGAGCGAAGCCUUUGCCGAGGGCGAGGCCGGUGCGCGCGGCGCCGAGGUCGACGCCGAGGCUGAAGCCACCGCCCCGGAGGGGGUCGAGCUCCCGGCGCCGCGCGUUCGGGAGAAGCGUCUCGGGUUCCAUUGCCGCUCUUUUGGGUGAAGAAGCGAGCGACGAAGACGACGACGACGACGACGACGACGACGACUGUGCCCAAACCCUAACCCUAAUCCUAACCCUAACACCAGCCAUGGAGGAGGAGCUCCCAAUAGGCACGAAAGUAGGAAGCGAAGGGUUCGAAGGGAUUCGUAGGAGACGCUCCAUCACUUCGAAGCCCUCUUUCUCUUUCUCUCGCUCUCUAUGGGAGCUGAGAAAGAGGAUAAUUGUGUGAGGAGGACGAAGAAGAGGAAAAGGAAGAGGAAGAUGCAUAAUGGGCCGAGCACAAGGCCCAUAAUAUUAUAUCUGGAUCUCUAAUUCACGAUCCAAUGGAUUUAAGCUACACAUAAAUGGGCCCAUACGAGCAGGCCCAAGAUCCUUUAUUUAUUUAUUUUUUUUUUUUUUGGUGAACUGAAUAUAAAUUUAGGCCUUGAAAUUUGACUCAAAUUUUUAUUUUCUGUCCUCACAAUUUUGAUUGUAGCCAUUCACCCUUAGCGUUUAAACUUGAUUUUGAUCUGCUCCUGGAAUUUCAAUUUAUCACCCAAAUUUUGGUCUUUGCUUCCGUUUCGUCUUUUAAAAUUUUAGUCCGAUCACCCGACAAUAAUCAUGCAUAUAAUAUAGGUUAGAAUGAAGAGGUAAAAACUUUUACUGCAGCAAAAUGCAAUGUACUUAGAUACCAUACAAUGAAAACCUACAAACAUAAAUUUGGUCUUUCUAUUAAUGUCAUAAAGAAGUUCUUGGUGCACGCAUGCACUUUAGCAAUGAAAACACUAUAAUAUUAUUUGAAGAUGAUCCAGCACAGCAGAAUAUUUUUUUCUAUACAGAUUCAAAAAAAAUAAGCUAUCGUGAGAAAUAAUAAUAACGUUUUUUCUCUAUCGGAAACUUUUAAAACAUGAAUUUGCUCCCUUUUUCCAAAUGGAAAAGGCAUUAAAGUAAAUAAUUAAAAAAAAAAAAAAACUGAUGAGGAGUAGGACAUCUGAUCAGAAUGGAUCGAGCUAACCGUUGCAGGGAGAGCAUGGGCGGCACUCAAGUGCGUGCCGAGAGAUUCCGAUCCCUUCGUACACGCGUCGCACUUUGAUUGGCCGUGAGAACGGUGGGGCCCACCACCGAGCCACAACUAGGAUUUUGCUCCUCACUCAAAUCUCCGACACCCUCCAACGUUCUAAAACCAACUUUUGAAACCGCCCCCAAAAUCACGAGUCACGACACUCCCCUAACUCCGCCUACUACCUAUCAUACAAAACACUAAACGCCAUACUCCAUUAAUCAUAUCUGUCUCAUUGCCCUGCUCUCUAUAUGCAUGCUGCUCCUACCUCAGCCAUAGCCGUUGCUUUCCUUUCCUCACCCUCAUGAAUCUCCUUCAUGUUCAAUUUACUAUUAUUAUUAUUAUUAUUACUGUUUAACUGGCCGCACCAAGUACUGUAAUUGAUUAAGAAUUUGAUAAUUGUUAUCUGAGAUCUCAAGUUCGAAAUUUAGCUGUUUCAUAUUUCUAAAUUUGCUCAUUUGCACCCCUAAAAAUAAAAAAUAAAAAAAGCGAAAACGGGUAGCAAGCUAUAGAUACUUCUGUUGAAAAAAUUGGCAAUGAUUACCUAAGGCCUCAUUUGGCAUUGUUGGUUACUAUUUUCUAGUGGAACAAUAAAUGAUAACUUAAAAAAAAAAAAAAAAAAAAAAAAAAAAAAAAAAAAAAAAAAAACUCAUUGAAGGAAGAAAGAAGUUGCUUUUAAUUUUUUAUGUAGUUUUUGUUGGCAAACAAAUCCCUUGAAUAUAUAUAAAGAUGCAAACAAUCCACCGCUACCACAUACGGAUAUCUAACGAGAUCUAACUUUUUCACUAUCUGAUAUUUGAAUUUAUUCGAUACAGGUCGCUAUUUUAAAAAUUAUUGGUUGUCGUUACUGCAUUCCUACAUCCUUACACCAUAUUUUCAUCCGCGCUCCAACCAAUCUGAUUAUUUACUCAUCACUAUUUAAGAACAUAGUUAAUUUAGAUGAUUAGGCUAAAAAGUACAUCUGAUGAAUCAAUCAAAGAUUCUAGGGUGCAUGCGCUAGAUGCAAGCAAGCAAAUUAUUUGAGAACGUUAACCCAUGCAGCUCAAAAGAUUUGAAUCCAAUGGGUACACAGCAUGGAAAAAAGCUAAAACUUCUAAAAAGUAAAGAGUUAUUUUAUUUGGUUACCAUAUGCCCGUGCAUGUGACCCACUGAGUUUGUUCUCACUCAACUUAAACAAAACGAGAAGCAAAGAUAAAAAGAUGGCCUUUUUUAAAAAUUCAGAUCUGAGUUUGAUGAAAAGGAUUCAACCUUUACCCUCGGGAGCUCUUUUCUUUUUUUUUUUCAAACUCGCUUUCCUAAGUAUGGCCAGUUUCAUCAAAAGUAACGCCUAAUAAUUUCGUACCAUAAGAGACAAUCAUAAUUAAAAAAAGCUACGCCCAUCUCUUGGGCAUCUGGGUCCUAUAUGGUGCAUGCCCGUCUCGUUGUUAAGUGUUUUGAUACAUUACUCAGUAUUAAUUCAUACAUGAUACAUUUAGAUUAAUUAUUCCAAUUAAGUUCAAAUAGUAUUAACUGGUUAAAUAACAAUAAAUGCACUAAUACAGAGGCCAAAUUACAGUGUCAAGAUGUUACAGACACAUUUUAGCAUAAAUUGAUUAAUGGUUUGAGGAAAGAAAAAAGAUAGGGGAAACUUCAAACCCCCCUGUGGUUUCGUAGCUUCUCACUUUGCCCUCCUGUGGUUUAAAAUGUAUCAAAUUGCCACUGUGGUUUCGUUUUUAUCUUUUCGCUAGCUUUUUUGUUAAUAUUUCAUUAAAUUAUAUACAAAAAACUUCAGAUAUUCAUCUAGAUUUAUCAAAUAUUCAUUUUAGUACCCUUUAAUUUUAACUUCAUCACUGAUUAAAGAAAAAAAAAAUAAUGAAAUUGAUAUGAAAAAGAGAAAAAAGAAAUCACAGGGAGGCAAAUUGAUACAUUUUAAACCACAGGGGGGCAAAGUGAGAAACUGCGAAACCGAAGGGAGAAUUUUUGAAGUUUUUCCAAAAAGAUAUACUUAAUUAUAGAUUAACUAACAGUAUUAAUUUAUGUUUGCAGUGGAAGUGAAGUUACCAUUCCUAGUGUAGAACAGCUUCUGCUCAGUGCAGAGUGCUCAGAGGUGCUGCUGCUGCUGCUGCUGCUGCUGCUUAGGUUGAGUCACUCACUCUCUCUCUCUCUCUCUCUCUCUCUCUAUAUCUUAUCACGAAGGUCCCACAAUUUACAACUGUGACACUCUGGAGAAAAAGAAUCAAAACUGUGACCGUUGCUUUCGCCAACAUUCCAAAUGCAUACAAACACCAAACUACGUGGAAUCAUCCCCUCCCUACCUAAUAUAAAACCCCCCACCUCUCAUUCUCUAAAGCCUCUUCAACAUUGUAGUUUCAACAAAGACCCUAGUACUCCGCAUCUCUCUCUCUCUCUCUCUCUCUCUCUCUCUCUCUCGGAACAUGGGUCUUAGAAUUUUGUACUUCCUCUUCACGUUUCUACUGCUCCUUUUAUCCCGUUCAAGUUGCUGCGAUCUCAACUCGACCACCGCCACGAAGCACCGCCACAGAUGGGUCGAGCCGACGGUCGCGCGCACCGUCGUGGUCGAUGCUGCAGGGUCCGGCGAUUUCCUUUCAGUCCAAAAGGCCGUCGAUUCGAUCCCGGAGAACAACACGAUUCGCGUCGUUAUACAAAUCAAACCUGGGUCCUAUAUGUAAUAAUACUAAUAAUUCUCAAACUAUCCCUUCCGUUUUACACUACUCUUUAGAUAUAUAGUGGUUGUAUUUCGCAAACAAAAAUAACUUUAUACAAAAAAUUAUAGAUUUUUUUUAAAAAAAUUGGUUUAUAAUUGAUCAUUAUUUUUUUUUAACGUGAUGUGAGAGUUACAGAGAGAAGGUGGUUGUGCCUGUGACGAAGCCGUAUGUGACAUUUCAAGGGGCGGGGCGGGACGUGACGUCGAUCGAGUGGCACGACCGGGCAGGAGACCGGGGGCCGGACGGGCAGCAGCUGAGGACCUACAACACGGCUUCUGUAACGGUUUUAGCUAAUUAUUUCGCUGCUAGGAAUAUCAGCUUCAAGGUGAGCUCUUCACUAUACCAGUUUUCACAGCAGGCUCUCCCCCUCUCCCACUCACUCUCUGAUGAGCAUGGUGCAGGACGCAGAGAGCAGUAACCGCCAUCCAAUCCGCCAACAUAGCAAGUUUUAGUUUUUUCUUUUUUUUUUUUAUUUUUUAGCGCAUCAGUAAUUUUUUAAGAGAUUUUUAAGAAUAACUAUUGUUUGCGGCACAGAAUUAUGGGUACUAAUUCCUUCUGUUGCAGCAUUGACAGCAAGUUUUGUAAUUACUGAUAUGUUUUGAAGUACUGAGAAUAAUAACUAAUAAAGGGGCUUGUCCAAACCGCUGUUUAUGAUGAUAAAAAUAGAACACAGCUCCGGCACCACUUCCGGGGAUGGAAGGGUGGCAAGCAGCGGCGUUCCGAAUCUCCGGAGACAAGGCGUACUUCUCCGGCUGCGGCUUCUACGGCGCGCAGGACACCCUCUGCGACGACGCCGGCCGCCACUACUUCAAGGACUGCUACAUCGAGGGCUCCAUCGACUUCGUUUUCGGCAAUGGAAGAUCCAUGUACAAGGUGAUCAAUUUAACCUCUAUGGUUGAUCAAAUUUAGCUUCUAUUUUCUUACAUUUUCCCAACACUUUGUUGAUUUCUGACUGGUUCACGUGCACGUAUUCAGAUUAACAUGCUCUUGAAUAAAUACAUAACGUAAAACAAUGUGAAGUAUAAUAAUUUAGUAGUUAAGAGCCAAAAUAAUGGCACAGAAUGUACUAAAAGCUUUAUCUUAAGAAUAAAAUAACAAUAUUUCUACGAAAUCAAAUAUGCUCUUGUAGGAACAUAUUUUGUUUUUUUGUUUUUUGUUACUAAACAAAUAAUGGACUUGGACCACAUUUAGGAUUGCGAGCUCCAUUCGAUAGCGAACCAGUUCGGGUCCAUUGCGGCCCAAGACCGGAACUCGGCAUGCGAGCGGACCGGGUUCGCAUUUGUGAACUGCAGGGUCACAGGAACCGGGAAAUUGUACGUGGGCCGGGCCAUGGGCCAGUACUCGAGGAUCGUCUUCGCGUACACCUACUUCGACGACGUGAUCGCGCCCGGAGGUUGGGACGAUUGGGACCAUACCAGCAACAAGAACAAGUUAGUCUCAGUUACUUCUGACUCGGACUGCAUCUUUAUCAUUCCUGUAAUUCCUUUUGGUCCUUCACACAUUGUCUCAGGACGGUGUUCUUCGGAUUAUACAAGUGCUGGGGACCUGGCGCUGGCGCGGUGCACGGUGUGCCGUGGGCGCGAGAGCUCGAUUUCGCGACGGCGCGGCCUUUCCUCGUUAAGAGCUUCGUCAAUGGGAGGCACUGGCUUAACCCUUCAGAUGCCUGAGCUUCAACCAUAUCUUGCGACUAGUCCCGCAGACAUUGUUAAACUCACCCAGCAGAGUCUACAAAUUCAUUUGAUUCUUGUAUACGAACACUAAAAAAGUAGCAGAUACAUUUGAUUCUUUUAGAUGUAUUCCAUAAUCAUCGACAAAGUAUUCCAAUUGCCCAUCACUUUGAAAAGAUUAUCAAGUGAUUGAAUGAGGCACAACCAAAAACAAUAAUGUUCACAAAUUUGGGAGCACUGUUUUCAUACAAAAAAUUUGUAAAGGCGCAAGCACGGAAAACUAAAAUCAACUUAUUUAAACACUACCAAAGGAGCAAAGGUUCACUACCUCCUGUAAAACAAAUGUUCCUAUCUCACAUUACACAGCAAUUUGGUGUAGUCCCGAGCAUCUCCGGUGACCUGGCGAAAACAAAAGACAAGCAUGAACGAGUUGCUAUACAACAUCAAAACUGGCAAAAGAAAACAAAUAUAUAUAUAUAUAUAUAUAUAUAUAGAGAGAGAGAGAGAGAGAGAGAGAGAGAGAGAGAGAGAGAGAGAGAGAGAUAAGCGCACAAAAUAUUAGCAAUUACACAGAAAGGUUCUAAUGGUUAAGUUGAAAUAAUAGUACAUAGCGAAACUCCAAGGUUUUGACCUAAACUGCAUAAACCUUUGUGGUGACAAUCUCAUCUGCUAGUCAAUGUGUUUUAAUGAAGAAUCAUCAUCAAUUAACGAAUUUCCACAUAUACUGCAACCGGAUUGAUUAUUCAACUUCAUGAAGAAUAAGUUUGCCUCACAGUCCAAUGCAACUAUUCUUAUUCUCAUGUGCCAAUAAUAUGUGUGGCCAUACACGACAAGACUUCACUUACUACAGUCAAGUGGAAUUGUCCAAUAUUAUUUAUUUCAGAACCCUUCGGGAAGAGAGAAAGUUAAGCAAGGGAAUGAGGAUGUAGAGGAACAAAGUGAGAGAGAAGUCAGAGAUCAAGAGAAACUAGAACAAAGCCUGACAAUGGCAGUCAUCAUGAUACCUAAGUCGAAUUUGUCGGAUCGUUGACGUAAACCAUUAAUCCCAAAAAGUCGAGCUGUUAGAAAUAUGCAACCAAUUCACUUAAAACGUACAGAUACGGCGCCCACAGGUCUUGAUUGUGACUCGGCCCAUCCAGCCUUACGCCACUUUAAACAUGACUCGGCCUACCCAGCCUCACAUUAUUUCGAACGUGACUUGGCCCAACAUGGCCUCCCGCCACAAAACAGGAUGCUGGCCUAUUUAAACCAAUAGAAUUUACUUUCUGGUAGAGUUAUGCUAGAUUCAAAGGUUAUAAACAAAAUAGUCGGCUUAAAAGGUCAUUUUCCACCUUUGCACCUUACGAUGAAGACAAAAUUAUAAUUGAAUAACAGUGCAGCUAACUUAUAUGAGUCUAGUUAAAUCUAAAGUAGGAAAAGAAUAGUCCAAUGAAGUAUAGCAUGGUGUUGCAUAAAUUGAAGUCAGCUGCAUUUUACCAGGUCACCUUGACAAUAUGAUCACGAAACCCACGCUUGACAGUAAAAGUAAUGAAGAAUAAAGUGAGAAUUGUUUCAUUUGCGAAGGAACAUCCUAAAGAUGAAAACCCUCCAACACAUCACGCUGUUUAUAAGAUCAUAAGAAUAAGGCGGGAAAGGAAAAGUCAUACUCCUACGGGCAAUAUGUUCGAUCUAGGUUAACAGACACCACAAUAUCAUGAUGAGAGAAAGAAGCAAAGUAAGGAUGUAUAUGCACACCAAAGUAUGGCCCACACAGUUUCAACCAACUAACGAAACCUAUCCAUGUGAAGAAAUUUCUUUAUUGGUUAUCAAGAAAAUUUUUUACUAGCAGAUGUGUUGUGAAUUUAAUAACACUCCAGAAAACUUCUAGAACUUUUAACGUUCAGAAACAACAGUAAAUAACACUUACAGUUGGCCCAAAUUGCUUAGAUCAAGUUCAGGAGCAAGCUCUUGAACAAUGUCAUUAGGAGGCUGACCACAUUCCUGCAUUUUCUGCAUGAGAUCAACAAUCUUAGUGAAGUUGUCGGGCUCCGUGUCAUAAACUUCAUUCAACUUUAUAAGGAGUUCAUAUUGGUGUUUAUAGCGAUCAUAAUCUUCUUGGCUUAAUUCAUUUUUGUGUUCCUCCAGCCAUUUUGGGUAUCUUUCUCCUAUUUCCUUCAUGGGUUCGUGAAGAAUCUCCUUGGAUAAAAGUUGUUGCAUCAUGGUUUCCACAAUAGAUUCCAUGUCCUACAUCAUAAAAUGAAAGAAAAUUCUGUAAGUGUAAGAGAAAACAAAAAACCAGCAAUACAGCAGCCGUAAAACAAUUGAGUUGUUCAAAAGAAAAUAUUACAAGUUCAAGCACUUCAAAUAUGCGAAUUCCUGUUGCAAUUGCAGAUCUUUAGAAGUAAGUCAAUCCAUAUACGAACAAGCGAAUAAGGGAACAGGGAAAAGGGGAAGAAGAAGAUUAUGGCAAAUUCGACUGCUUUAAGUUUGAUCAAUCAAUCUAACCUAUGGUUCGACACCAAAUAGAACAGCACAAAACAUUAGAAUUGCAAUCUUCGAAUCAUUUUUCAUGCACAGAAGCAAGAAGUCUAAUGAUUGCCAAUUGAUCAUGAGUUACAACAUCAGCCAGAAUUUUCUAAACCAUCGAUUAUGCAAAGUUCAUCACUGUUGGAACGAACAACCAAGGUGUGGAAUUAUGUAGUUAUAUCCAAGCAAACCUAAAUUGCUUUCGUUUAAUUAACCAGAACAUUGUACUGAGCAUCCCUCCGAUGAGCACAACACAACGCAAAACCAGCACAUAACAACGGCAACUUCUUUUUCUAUCGCACGCAACUCUAAUUCAAAUUGAACUCAGGAGAACGAUCUGAGUUGAGUAAAAAGCGAUCAACCUGGGAACCGGCGAGCUCCUCGAACUGCUUCACAAACUCCUCGACCAUGGCCUCGUUGUCGAAAGCCCCUUCCCCGAACCCUUGCGGCGGCGGCGCGGCGGCCGUGGCCGACUCGAGCCCGCGCACGGCCUGGCGCGUCUCCUGCGUGAGCUUCUCCAGCGCCUCGGAGACAUGGUUCGCCUUCAGCGGCGGCGCCCUCUGCUUCCCCUUCCGCUUCCCCUUCAAAUCGGGCAACCCCAACCCUAAUCCCUGCACCGCCGAAGGCGAUAGCGCCGGCCCCUUCCCUCCGCCGCCGUCCCCAUCGCCCCCAUCGCCGCUCCUACCAAAUCCAACAAGCAACCCAUCGAAAUCGUCUAGGAAAUGAAGGGCGAGGAAGAAGAGGAAGUAGAAGGCGAGUACCUUGAAGAAGCGGAGGGAUCGAGAUCGAGCUUGGUGAAAUCGUCCAAAGCGCCUAGAGAGGAGAAGGAGAAUAAGAGUGAGAGAAAACAGGGGGUUAGAAUAAUUGGAUAGAGAGGGAGAAUAAGGGGAGGAGCGUACUAUCGAGGAGUUGAUCGAGAUCGUCGGAGGGGGGGUCGGCCAUGGAAAAUCGUAGGGAUAUGACGCUAGAAGAGGAAUGUACCGAGGAUAAAAGUCGCGGAACAGUAGGGAUAGAGAGAGAGAGAGAGAGAGAGAGAGAGAGAGAGAGAGAGGGAGGAGACAAGAAUAAGUUGUUGGCGUCUGCGACUCCACCGCCACGAUACCAACGCCGACUCUGCCGUAUGCGGCCAUGCGAGUUCUCAAAUUACAAGUAUUGAGUUUUUAAUGAAUUUGUGCUGAAAUCCUGCUAAAAAUUUAUAUUUCUAAUUUUUUUUUACUUUUUUAGGUGUCGAAGAUUUAAUAUGAAUAGUAGUAGAUACUAAACUUGCUAAGAUACUCUAUUUUAAUAUAAUUAUUAUAUAUUUCAUAUCUCUUUUUUUAACAUCAAAAAAAUAUUAUUAUGUCUUUUUUUUUAAGAAUAAAUAAAGUUAAAAUAAACAAAAUAUCUGUUUAAACAAAAAUAGCAGAUAAAAUUGUUGCACGAACGGAGAGAUACGGCAUACAGUUUAUGGAGUAAUGGUGCAACGACUUCAAUAGUAAGUUUCUAAAGGUACCACAUCCUCAUAACGAUAUCCAUCAAGACAAAUUUCGAAAAAGGAUUUCAAGUACUUGUCCGCAAAUUUUCAGAUUCUAAAUAGACCAAAAAGAUAAAACGGCCAGCCUGUGUUCACUUCGAAGCCGCAUCCGCUUUGCUUCCUACUUCUUCCUUGUUAACAGUGCUUGCCUCUGCUUUAACAUCAAGUCCUGGAGGAACAAAACCUCCGGCAGCCGAAGCGCCGUACUCCAGAACGGGGGCUACAUCUUCACCGGCAGCAACCGAUGACCCACCUUCGGUAGUAGCAUUCUCCAAACCAGAUUCCGUGACUGCUUGCACAUUCUCCUUCCCUUCGGUACCAGCAGCAUUUUCCCCUUCAGCCUGCGUUUGCUGCGCUGCCCCCGAACCUUCCGCAGCUUCGACAGACUGGCGAACCUCUUGCGGCACCCCAUAACCUUCGAGUUGGGCAGCCCUGCUAAGCAUAUAAGCCUCCUGCUGGAUCAUCUCUGGGGUUUUCAUCCCAUAAUAUAUCGGCUGUGGGCCUCGAGGUGGAUAAGCAGUCGGCUGGUUCGGAGGGAUGAAAACCUGAAUGGGCCCGAAAACAGAAUUUGAGCCUUGAAACCGCUUGAUCUUGGCAAUAUGCUUCUUGCCGGCGAGAUGGAUAUCGAAUACGGCUACUGUGUCGCACAUCACAUUGCAUACAGUGCACACUCUCGGCUGCUCCCUCUUAGGCUUAGGCGGUUCGGGAAAUCUCAUUCUCUUCUCUGUCUGCCAAUACCUCAUUGGUUGUCUGCUUGCACCGCCCCUCCUAUUGAACCUAUUAUAACUGUCCAUCCUCGGCCUCUUUUGGAAUCGCCCUUUUGGGAAUUCCUCCGAUUGGAUUGCAUCAGAAGGAGCACCCUCGGUUUUUUCUCCCAAUUCCUUUGGAGGCUCAGUUUGUCCGUCAGCAGCCUGGGUUUGCAUCGGAUCUUCUGGGUUGUUUUCAGUUCCCACAGCUGGAGCCUGUGUGUUUUGUAAAGCAGCAGAUUCUUUGUUUUGUACCAGAGGCAUAUAAUCUGACACUGUAUACUCUUCUUUUCCUUCACCCAUCUGACUGGGAGCUUCAGAUACUUCUCCCACUUGAGGGGCAAAGCUGUUUUCUGCAGUGAUUGGAGGGACAAAGCUGUUUUCUGCAGUGAUUGGAGGGACGAAGCUGUUUUCUGCAGUGAUUGGAGGGGCAAAGCUGUUUUCUGCAGUGACUGGAGGAACAAGUUCAGGUUGAGCAAUAACAACCGGUCCAAAAUUGCCCAUCAGCUUCUGUUGAGCUUGUAUUUCCUGUAUUCUCUGCACGGUUCGCUUAUGUCGCUUCCCAUUCUUGUGCUGCUCCAGAAUUUCGAGACUGUUGCAAUCAACCCGGCAAACGUCGCACCAUGCAACCGGCAGGGCAGGACGGCGAGGUGGCGCAGGCUCUGUCACUAAUGACCCUGGCGGAUUUGAUGGCCGUCCACCACCGCCCCUGCUGGAUCUUCCUCGUCCUCUUCGGCCCCGCCCUCCUCCCCUACCAGGUGGUGGGGAAGGGCCCAUAGCAUCUUGUCUGGGAGGGUGAGGACCAAAGUUUCCCCUGCCCCCGCGGCCUCCUCUGAAAGGCCCUCUGCCUCUCCUGCCGCCACCCCUAUAUGGGUUUCCACCGCCAACCUGUAGAAAUUCUCAAAAAGUUCUCAAAAUGGAAAAAGACUAGGAAGAACUGUUCUUCCGAAAUCUAAAAUGCACACGAACCCCUAGUAUCACGAUUUGCGCUUCGCCCACAUAAACAAUUAAUUAUGGUCAAAUGUACAUAUGCAAGAAGCCAAUCAAGUCUAGCUAGUCUAAGAACAUAUCAAGUUUCACCAUAGGUUUACCUUAUCGACACACAUGUACGUAACAAUCCUUGUCAAACAAGGAACACAGUUUCUACAUGUUCUUGUUCAUGUGUGUCAUCAGCAUAUUCCGGUAACCACUAAGUAGCCAUUUACACAAAUAAGCAGCUUCAUUCCUUUACAAGCAAAAACAAGGCGCUAGAAAAAGAUGAAAUAAACUUGAAGAAUCAAGAGGUAGUCACUAGGGCAACCAUUCAGUACCUAAUCUAUAAAUAGCAAACUAAAAUAUUACCAGUCAGGAAUGAAGUAUACAAAGAAACCAGCAGAAAAAUCAUCAAUAAAUUACCACUGAUAGCUUAAUACAGAUAAAAAUAAUCAAUUGAUUACGCUACUAAUAGCUAUCACACACUACAUACUGGAAAUCCCAUAUACCAUAGUACGUAUACGAUAGUUAAAAGACUAUCUUCAGACAAACAAAAACUCUUACCUGGUUUUUUUCAACUUCACAAGAUUGCGCAUAAACUUUAUAAACUUGAUCGUUAGACAAACAGGGGAAAACAGAACCAGCAAUUUUAUACAAGUUCACUAGAUACUCUAUAGAAAGCCCACAUAACUUAUCCAAAUGAGAUCAAUCUUUAAAAGAUAUAACUACUUAAAUUCAGGACUGAAUUAACAAGCAAUAAAAAUGUAUAUAUUUUUGUGCAUUUAUGCUGGACUACUGACAAAAAUUAUAUUAGCAGUAAAGUAUCAGACCUGUGCUUCAUAAGGUUCAUUUAAUUCAUUGUAUAGACAGGAGGUGUUAUGAAUUCCAAAUGGAAGCGUGCAACAGGGAAAACAAAUCCAUGAGCUAAAAACUCAUAUAAACCCUAGUUUUGCUUUUGCAAGACAGAAAAAAUGAACAUAGUCAUGGCAAAUAUUCAUCAAGUUUGACCUACGCAAUCUUCCUAAAUGCAUUCAUGACAAUGAAAAUCUUAACAUUAAAUCAAACAUGAAAUAAUACACAAAAAGUAGAUCGAUGGAUUUAGCUCAUGCUAUCUACAAUUCAGAAAAGAUCCAAAUUACCUAAUGCGUCUACAGUAAGGAGUAAGGACACCAUUAGUUAUUUUCAGAUUUCUGCAAAAUACAGAUCUAUUUUUCUUUUAUUUCUCUGUAUCCACAGUUAACAAAUAUUAACAGGUAUUAGUUGUCUUAUAGAGACUACUCUCAAAAUUAUUGGUCACCCCAACCAAAAUAUAAAUAACAAAAAGUAUCAUUGAUGCUAAAACUUAAUUAUCUUAAUGAGAAAAUCAAGCAUCCACCUAGAUAAUCCCUACGAUGAUGCAGGUUAGGCAGUAGCCUAAUUCCCUAGACAUCCUGUCUACUGGCAGAAGUAUAGUAGGCUAACCCUAAAAAUCCAAGCUUACAAGGCGCUUAGGCGGUCUGAGCCUAUCAAAACUUUGUCAGACCACAUAGGCGUCUAAGCGAUGCUUCUAGUAGGCUUACUCAUACUUCCCCAAGGAAACUCACAAGACUCAACUAGAUUUGAUCAAGUUCCAUCCGUGGACUUCAUACUCAUUCAAUGUGGAUCCAACAUCAUCAGCAUCCUCUGCACAGAUGCAGCUUUGUUGACCUAAUAAAGUUGAGUCUUAUGAGUUUAAGUUUUUAAGAUAAGAUCAAGUCUUUCACCACUGAUUAUAAAAGACAUAUGCACCCUUUCGAGAAACUGGAUGGAAAAAGAUUCCAUUUGUCAUUUCCACCCAUUGUUUCUAAGACGUAACACAAGCAAGAACCACUGAGAAAAGGAGAACCAACCAAUUUGCCUCACACCAAGCACUUCUAUGUACCAUUCCUUGUCACAAGGUCGAAUCAACUGGCAUACAUUCUCUUCAACAUAAUCCAAGGCAUGAAGCACUUGAAGUAGCAUACCUAGGUCCACAAAUAAGCAGCAGUCUUCCUCAAAAAAAAAAGCAUUUUAGCUGUUAGAGAAAAGAUAAGAGUAAAAUCCAAAGGGUGGGGAAUGGAAUUGGGAAAAAUAAAAAAAACUACAAUAGGGACAGAUUACGAUGAAACACUACAUUAGGUAGGGGUGAACAUGGAUUGGAUAGGGAUCAGAUACUGGCUAAACCAUAUCCAUAUCCAUAUUUCCUGUCCAAAUAUGGAUGCAAAUAUGGUUAUUAAUUGGAAUACAAGUUUUGGUAACCAUAUUUGUUCAAUACAGAUAGAGACAUGAAUCAGACAUCUGAUAUAUCAAUAUUUGCUCCGAAUAUAUGUGAAUAUAAUAGAAAAUAUAUUGUACCAUAGAAAGAUAUACGAAACAGACAAAUUAAAGACUCACCAAAUGGGUGGGAACAAAUAUAUAUAUACAAUUUCAUCUUUUGCAACAUUCUAACAAACAGGUUUCAGAUAUAAAUUUAAACCUGUAUUCCUAUAUAAUUUAAAAAAAAAAAAGUAUAUCCAAGUAAUUGGGAAAUCUGAACCCAUAUCCAGAAAACCCAGAUUCCGUAAGUCAGCUAGGAUCAGAGGUUGACAGACCCAUUUUCACCCCUACCAUUAAGAUGUAACUCAAAGAUAUUAAACAAUUCAGAACAUGGCAAAAGAACUUUAGCUUACAGUUAAGAUACUGUAAGCUGAAUUUGGCAUUGUAGAUGCCUAGAUAUGCUAUACACAAGAGAAGGUCAAGCGGACAUUUGUUCCUCCAACAGAUUGUAAGAUAGAGCUGGAUAACAGGAUAGAUAGUAAAGAAGGAAAGAGAUCUUGCAAUUGCAACAAAUUUAGGAUACUGUAGAUCAUGAAAUAAAGAUUGCAAUAUCCAUGAGAUGGUGAUGUUGGUAACCGGACCCAUUGCGUACCAGCAAUAUUUUACACACAAUGCUGGGCAUUUGCAUAGCAUUCUAGGGCAUCAAAACAGUCCCCAAUUGCCAAGUCAAACAUAGUGUAGCUUGGUAAAGGAUGUCCUCAGUGCAACAACCAAGAGAAAGAUUUAAGGUCGCAAAAGGUCUGUUUGUUUCCACAAGAAGAAGUCUUAAACUGUUUCAGUCUGAAAAAUAGUUUUCAAAGAGUCUAAUUGACAAAACAAGAUUUAGUCAGAAAACUAUUUACAGAUUUUGAGGAGAACUGUCUACUACUGUUUUGCAAUAUAAAAACCAAACAUAGUGGGAGAUCUAUUUCUGGACUCUCCUUUUCUUUCGCUGGCGACAAAAAAAUGAUGCUCCAGCAGCAGCUUUCAUUUUUGGCUGAACCAGCUAUCAGAAACCAUAAACUUUAUUUAACUUCAAAAAUCUUUUUCCAUCAAACUCCACUAUUUUUUGUGGAACCAAACAAACUCUGGUUUAUGAUGUUCACUAUCUUAGUGGCCAGACACUCAAAGUGCCAACAGGCUAGCCUAAAACCAAUUAUUAGGUAGUGUUUGGUCCGGAAAUAGAUCAGGGAUAGUGGUAAAUAUCACAUUAUCACUAACACAGAACCAAACACAAUGAGGGAGGUAAAUUCCACAUCUGGAAUUAAGUAGAUAAAAUAUCCCCAGGAUCUUCUAUCCGCCGAAGUACCAAUACCUUGAGUGUGGGUGAAAUUGUGAUACUCUCAUGGGAAUGACAUUCUUUCGAGUAAUCUACAUUAUCCUCAACCAAAUAUAGUGGAUAACACUUAAAACUCGAGCAAACUUAAAGAUAUAUAUCACUAUUCCCAUGUAGAAAUUCCAAACCAAACACCACCUUAUAGAUAUAGAUAAUUGUGACUGCAGUAACUAUCCCUCUCUGAAUAACAAUAGAUCCAGGAUUAAAAAGAACUUAAUCAUGAAUCUCUUAUUAUCCAAACAAAUCCAGAAAGAUUAAAAAAAAAAUAACCAAUCCUCUAUUUUUCCAGUUAAAAAAUGCGCAUUGAGCAUUAGUAACAGCUUCAAUGCACUCAAGCAUCAACUUCCUUUACGAAUAACUCACUUCGAAUACUUCCAAAAACGUCGCAAGUCAUGUAGAAAUGCAUUACAGCUCCCCUGAAUACUUUCAAUUCAUGGUUACCGCAUGCAAAACUGUAACCAUACCGAAACAAUCAAGGUGACAUUGAUAUAUGUAUUAGUGAAAAUUCACUAAGAGAGCAUUUGGAUUGAUGAAGUUACAAUUUGGCCAUAAAUUAAUUUUAUUAAAACAUUUGAGGAGUUCCGUUAGGUAGUCAAUUCCCUUUGAAAUAGUCCGAAGUCACCUUUCGUAUAAAGAUCCAAAAUCUAGCCAAUAACAAGCCUGUGAAUUUCUCUAGUAUUAUGCUGAUUGAUGGUAAGACCAAUAUUUUCACUCUCACCAAAUGAUUUUUAGCUAAACUACAGUUAUGUCAAUCCAAACGCCCCCUAAGAACUGAGAGAUAUGACUUGAAAUAAAGAGAAUUGAUGACAAAUGUUCAAAAAUGAGCGAAAACCAUCGGGUUACAGAUCCACCUCAGUGAAAACCUAAUCGGCCAAAUUAGGGCGAAGGAACGGAGAGAGAGCGCAGGAUAAUCGCAUACCAUCGGGUGAUGAGGGUGGUGUUGCCCGUGCCACUGCCCUUCCGGGCCCCCUGCCAUCGACCCCGCGAACUGCGUCAGCUGCGACAGCGCCGCCACCGCGGCUGCCGCCGCGGGGUUCAGCCCCUGGUGCACCUCGUACGGCCCCGCCGGUGCCACCGCUGCCGCAGCGGCGCCCUGCUGCUCCUGCGCCGCCGCGUAGGCCCCAUGGAUGUGCGCCGAAUCCUGCGCCGCCGCCGCAGCGGCGGGAGCGGCGGCGGCGGUGGCGCUGGGGGUGAGAUCAACGCCGGGGGGAGGGGGUUGGUAGGAGGCGGAGGGGUAGCUCUGGGGGUAGUAUUGGUGGUGGUGGUACGCGGAGGGGUCGUAGUGGUGGUGGUAGGCGUAGUAGGCUUCGUAGGCUUGGGCAUGGGAGGGGUCGUACGGUUGGGGUUGGUGCUCUUGUUGCUGGUACUGAUGAUACUGUUGUUGCUGUUGUUGUUGUUGUUGUUGUUGUUGAUCGGGGAGAGCGGAGUACUCCAUGGCGGAGGAGGAAGAGGACGAGGAGAGGGGAAGGAGACGACGAAUAAAUAGCUUGUAGGAUUUGUGCGAUUCCUCGCGUAGGGUUUUCUCGUCGGGGUGGGGACGAUGAUCGGAUCGUGCGGGAGGGUAUUAUCGGAAUUUCACGCCAAAAGAUGUUACGCAGCCACGCAGGUACUGAUGCAACGUGGGCCCGUUUUAAGCCCACAUUACUGGGCCUAUGACGGCCCAGUACGGCGCGGUACAGGUCAUGGCCCAAACCUCUUUGGGCCGUGACAUAUUUCAAAGUUAUAUCACCUAAACCAAAGUUUAGCUAAACUGUGACAAGCGUCAAUCAACUAGUGGUUGCAUAACAAUGCCCUUUUCAGCAGCAUGAGAUAUUAUUUUUAUUUUUAGUUUGAUUCUCCCACUUGGUUUCAAAUACUUAUGCUAUAAAUACCACCUUUACCUGUUAUAAAUUUCCUAAUCCUCAAAGAAAAAAAAAAAGAGGGGGGGGAAUAUAUAGCUUAUGACUGUAACAACCUGUUGCUUCAUAUUGCUUCACAUCUUGUUCUAAUCUUGGAAAAGAAUAUGGUAUUUAUAGAUCACUCUAAAAGGUGACCCAGUUACACAUUAAGAACUGGAAUUUGAAUCAUAUAUAAGCGGUGUAAUAUUAAUAUCACAACUUUAGUUCGAGCUCCUCAUUGAGACCAUGGAGUACUACAGCUUCAUCCUGCGUCUACUACCCUUAUUCUCCACCAUAGCUUUCCUACUGUUGCUCACUUGCUUUAAUAUCAGUGCUGCGAACUCCAACAACUCAAACGUAACCACCUCCUCUUCAUCAACCUGGUAUCCGGCCCGCGCCACAUGGUACGGAGACCCCCAUGGUGCCGGAAGCGACGGUAAUAUAUAUACAUAUGCAUGUGUGAGAGAGAUUGCUACAACAUAAGUUAUAAGUUUAACUCAUCUUUUUUGUUACAAACCAAAGGUGGUGCAUGUGGUUACGGAGAUGCGGUGGAGAACCCGCCUUUCUCAUCCAUGGUUUCAGCAGGAGGCCCCUCGCUCUUCAAAUCAGGCCACGGAUGUGGCGCUUGUUAUCAGGUAAAUUACAAAAUAGUAAAUCGUGGUAUGAAUGGGGAGAGCAGUUGACGUGCAACUAAGUUUAAGUUUUCAAUCUGUAUUUUGUUAGUGAGCUCUUUACUUGAGUCCGAGUACUUCUUUGUAUACGUAUAUAUAACAUGUUCGUACUUAGGUUUUAUGCAACGAUUUAUGUAUCUCAGGUGAAAUGCACCGGAAAUGGUGUGUGUUCUGGGGAGCCGGUGACGGUGGCGAUUGCUGACUUGUGCCCAGGAUGCCUCUCGGAGCAAGUCCACUUCGACAUGAGCGGAACGGCAUUCGGGGCCAUGGCGAUCCCUGGCGAAGACGAUCGGAUUCGCGAUGUGGGCGUCCUCACAGUACAGUACAUGCGGUAACUAAGUAUCUAUAUAUUAGUGGGGAAGAUAAUCAAUAAUUAUGCAGUUAAUUAGUCCCAAAGUUUGAAAAGUUAAUUAGUAUUGGUUUCAUCCUUAUGCAUGUCAUUAUUAUCGUCAAUUUUACUUGAUAAAAUUGAAAUUUAGAGAUUAAAAUGAAAAUAGACAUCAAGCUUUACAAAUGAAAUUAAAAUCGAGGAUGGAUCUACUAUAUAACUUCAAAAAUGAAAAUAAAAUUACGUCAAUAAUCUUUUUUCUUUUCUUUUGUGCAGAGUCGAGUGCAAAUAUCCAGGUUAUGACGUGGCGUUCUACGUGGACUCGGGCUCGAACCCGUACUACUUCGCGGUCGCGGUGGAGUACGAGGGUGGGGACGGGGACUUGUGGGGACUGGAUCUGAUGCAAGGUGGGUCGGACCAUUCGUGGCUCCCCAUGCAACACUCCUGGGGCGCGGUUUGGAUGUUGAGUUCCUCCGGCUCGCAACUCCGCGCCCCGUUCUCGAUCAGGCUCACCACCCUCUCGACCCACCGGACCGCAAUCGCGAGUCGGGUGAUUCCUAUUGGGUGGAAACCCGGUUCGACCUACCGGUUCAGGAUCCAAUUUAGCAGUGUCUCAGCUUAAUUGAAAGUUUGGUAGCAUGGUUGAAAUAUGAUUUGGGCAAAUGUGAAAUGAUUGUGAUAGGUGAGGUAUUAUUUCAAAUUUUGAUAUCAGAGCUUCAAUUAGCAUAAAUAAGCUUUUUGGGCCCAUUUAGCUGUCCCCAUCUGUAAGAUUACGUUGUAUCAAGCUAUGGCUUUUCAAUUAGUGUCUAUUUGGCCCGACCGAGGGUGAAUCCCCUGCACAGAACACACUCCACGCAUUAAACUGGAAUUUGGGAUUAGGCAAAUGUGGCACAUUGCUGAUCGUAAUCGUGAAAAGUAACGAACAAGUUUCUGACGAAGACUUGGCUUCUCCGCACUGCGCUUCGGUGCUGUAUGAGCACAAAAGUGCUGCUGUGGACCACUAGGCCUAACUAAUCUUUAGUUCUUUACAGGAUUUUUCUUAUGAUUGGCACCUCAGGUGUAGCUUCCUCGCACCUCACCGCCGCGCAAUACGAAUGCAGUAGAUCUAGCAAGCUGCUUAGGGGCUGUUUGGUUCCCCGUAAAAUGGCCCCGAAAAAAAAUUUUCGGUGGAAAAGUGCGAUUCUAGCGUUUUUUUGUCCGUAAAAAAAUUUGUUGGGAAAAUUUUUUUUCCGAAUACAAGGAAAACAUAGGUUUUCGUUUUCCGCUCGCAAAGAGCGGAAAACGAAAAUUGGGUUGGAAGGGGCGGGGUUCACAGGGCGCGGUCCACGAGGCGCACCCCACCUCGUGGACCGCAAGAGAGAGGUCCACUGGUUGCGGUGGACCUCUCUUCCCCAUCUUUUCUUUUAUAUAUAAUAUAUAAUNAUAUUUAUUAUAUAAUAUUUUAUAUGUAGUAAUUUAUUACUAUUAUAUAUUAUAUUAUAUAUUUAAUUAUUACAUAAUAUAUUUUAAAUAUAUUUUAUUUAUAAAUAUAAACUAUAAUACUAAUAUAUAGAAUAUGAUAAUAAUUAUAUAUUAAUAAUAUAAAAUAUGUAAAAUAAAAAAUAUAUAUAAUAAUUUUUAUUUAUAAUUUUUUUUCCUUUCAACCAAACAACCGUCUCGGAAAAUUACUUUUCUUUUCCUACGAACCAAAUAUAAACAACGUAAAAUAUUUUUUCCACCGAAAACUUUUUUUUCACAGAAAUUUUUUUUUCCACAGUUUUACGUGGAACCAAACACACCCUUAGCCAAGUAAGUUCGUAACUAUCACCAUUAAAAAAAAACAAAGUGCGAACAGAAGUAAGAUGAAUUUUGGGGUGAAAUAAUAAAAAUAACAGGUGGCAAAGGACUUGGUCGUUGGUACCUGAAACCUAAGUUCAAAUCUUAGUUGAUUUACAUUUCUAGCUAAGUUUAUUUCGAAAUGAAAUAAACGAAACGGUGGCGUGCUACAUAUCUUUCAAAAAAAUAUAUAUGUUUGUCUAAUAAAAAAUGAUUAUACAUAUAGAUAUAUAUAUCAUGUACGUAUAGAGUUUCUCUACUUUUUCUCUUUAUUUGUUGGAUAAAAUCUACAUCUUGGUCGGCGUUUUCUUUUAGGGAAAACUUUAAAAACCCCUGCUGUGGUUUCGCACUUUUUCACUUUAGUACCCUAUGGUUUAAAGUGUACGUAUCAAUUUACUCCCCAUUUACCCCCCAAGUGGUUUUGUUUUUAUCUUUUCGGUAGUUUUUUCUUAAUAUUUCGUUAAAUUAUAUACAAAAAACUUCAGAUACUCAUCUAAAUUUAUCAAAUAUUUACUUUAGUACCCUUUAAUUUUAACCUUGUCAUUAAUUUAAGAAAAAAAUUAAUAAAAUUGAUACUAAAAAGAGAAAAACAAAACCACAGGGCGGACAAAUUGAUACACUUUAAGCCACAGGUACUAAAAUGAGAACGUGUGAAACCACAGGGCGGGUUUUGAAGUUUUUCCUUUCUUUUAUUGAUCUUUCAAGGGAAAUUAGGUAACUUUAGAUAUUAGUUGGACUAGUAAUUAGGUUGACCCUGUUGGAUGGUGGGUCAACUGUUGAGUGAGAUCAUGGAAAUAUGGAGGAAGUGAAAGAAACCCCACGACCUCAUCCUUCAACUUGUUGCUAAUUUGCAGGAAUUUUGGACCUAAACAGCUUGACCAGUCGAGCACUUUCGUCUGCAUCUUCUAUUUUUCCGAAGAAGAAAUACAUUAUCUACGGUCGCGAAAAGCAGAAUGAUAUUUCAGUAUAUCUGCAGGUCUUAUUUAUUUGUUCGUUUAUUUAAGUGAAGAGAAGUAAGUUAUCCGCUUUAUUCAUUUAAAAAAGUAAAAAAGUGAGGCAACUUAUUCUUAGAUAAGAAAAGAAAGGAAAAAAAAAGAAAAGAAAAAAAGAGCAAACAACGAAGAACAAUAUGACCUGCAUCAAUAAACCAUAAGAAAUUCGGCGCUAACAAUAUUGAACCAAAACUCCAAUAAGAGUUGAAAGUCGUUCAAGACCUGUGUAAUCGACUUCUUACGCUGCUGGAAGUAAAGGAGUUUCUUGAAGUAUUUAAUAAAGUUUGAAAAUUUUAAAUGCUAGCAAUAAAUAAGUAAAUAAAGUUUACAAGAUCUCAAAACAAAAAAAAAAAAGAAGAUAAAAUUCAAUACGGUUCUCUGUGUUAUUUGGUUGUACUCAGAUGGCUGGUUAUGUACUCUGGAUAAGAGGGGCAUUAUUGUUCUUUAGUUUACUGGAGCUUUUGCUAGUGCAAUUAUUUUGUACAGCACCCGUUCUAAGAAACUUUUCCUUUUUAAUUUGAGACAAAAAAAAAAGGGGAAAGCGUUUUGGUGAUUUCAUUUUAACUACAAAUAAAGCUCCAUAGCAGAGUUUUAAUUCGUCACAUAGACAUGUAACAUCAACCAAACACUAAAGAUUGGGGAUUUGGAUCCAAUUGGAUUAGUGCAUUUUAGAAUUUCGUUAACACGUCUGGUUCAUUUGAUCUGCACGUUUGUGGAACUAAUGAUCCGUAAUUAAUUUUUAACUAUAAGUUUAUUAGUAAUUACUAAGUUUAAUAAGAGUGACUAAAAUUACACAUUGCAUAUCUUUUUGAGUUACAAAAUGUUACAAUUUAAGCUGCAAAAGUAACAUUUGGAAUAACCAAAUUUAGAUUAAAAUUUCCCCCAUAAUUUCUUUUUUUUUAAGCUAGAGAUAAUUCUCACGUGGGGUUCAUUUAUGAGGGUAUGCUGUAUACAGUAUACAUAUAGAAACAGAAGAUACGAAGAUACGAAGACGAUAUGUGUUGUAUACGGUAGCCGUAAUCAUACGUACAUACAGCGAUGUGUCGUGCUCGCGCAUUAGCUGGAGAUUCGUGCAUGGAGUGUGAUAUUAAUUUCCGAGCCAUGAUCCCUCCGUUUCAACUACAUCCGCAUCCAGCGUCCUCCCCCACCUCACUCGCCUCGCAUGUGCGGAUCACACGUGCCAACCUCUUCCCCUUUACAAAUCUAUUUACUAGACCUGGUCUAUGAAACAUGCAAUAGAGCUCUCACAUGCUCAUUGCCAUCAUUCUUAGUAAGUUAUGUUCAUAAGCAAAUUUGAGAGUCACUUUAUUUAAAGUGAGGAGUUAGGAUUCGAUUUUAAAAUCUGACAAAUAUGUUUUACAGUAUAAUUACUCUUUAUGAAAUAUCUUAAUAUAAUACUAAAAAUUAGAAUUUUUAAUAUUUGAUUUUUUUUUUCACAACUUAUUAAUCUAUACAAUUUCUUCAUAUUUCGGGGAAACGGUUUUAGAUGUUAUGAUUUUUAUAUGCAAACUAUUAAUAUUCUAUAAUGCUUUCAUACGUAGUUUAAAUUAUGUACCUAUAUUAUAAUGAGUCGGCUAUAAUAUAUUUGUAUUAACUUUUUUUAAUACUAUUGAUCUAUACAAUUUAUUGGUAUUUGGACAAUAAGAUUUUAGAUUUUUAGUUUAACGUCUGUAAUUUUUUCAUACCAUAUUAAAUCUGAAUAUUGUAACGUGUAGGUUGUAGUGUGCUUUUUAUANGAAUGAAGUCUAUGUGAAUUUAUCCUAUUCAUGCACUAACAUUAUUAGUACUCUCUCUAUUUUGGUACUUUCUUUUGGCAAUUUUUGACAAAAAGGGGUUAGUAGAUAAGAUUUUAGAUUUUUAGUUUAACGUCUGUAAUUUUUUCAUACCAUAUUAAAUCUGAAUAUUGUAACGUGUAGGUUGUAGUGUGCUUUUUAUAAUCCUAAAAAAAGUAGAAAAAUAUAUCUCUAUAUACUUUUGUACGUUUAAAUUUAAAUUUUAUCUUAUCUACUAACAUUAGAUUGACCUCUGGUCCUGAAAUGCGGCUACUAUUGUACACACAAUGAUUGGCCAUAAAAUCGCUAAAUUUUUUAAAAAAUAUAUAAAAUAUCUUUAAUUAUGGUAUAAUAAAAAUUAAUACAUUACAAGUUUUCUAGUCUAAAAUAAUUUGUUUCGGUACAUCGAGCUUUUGUUAUAAUUUACUGUAUAAUUUUUUUUAAAAAAAUUACUAUAUUUAUUUAUCCUUCCCGAAUCUAAAUCCUGGCAUAGUUCCCAGAAGGUCCAGGGCGUAGAUUAUUCCCAAUGGUGGACCAGGUUCAGGCAAAAUUUUCUGUCCGUUCCUCAACAACUCUGGAGAGCGCCACACGUGGCAACAAUUAGGGAGGUGCAUGGGCCGGGUACGUGGUUAAGGGAUCCAGGGAGAACGGUGCCACGUGCGCGUCUCACUCCGCCACUCGUGUGAGACCCCCGCGGGCCCCACGUGUGGCCCCCACCCCCACCCCCCACGCCAUCUCCUAUUUGGAUAGAUUCGGAUUGUUCGGAGCGCGCGAACCCCCCCCCGCUUCCCCACUCCCUCCUCUCUCGCUUUGUUAGUUUCCACUUCUUUUUUUUUUUCCUAUUUAUUAAAAAUUAGAAUAUUCUGUAAUUAUCUUAAUUUUUAAAAACGCACAUAAAUUCUCAAUUUAAAUUUUAAUUAUUUCAAAUUUAAAAAUUUUUAAAAAUUGUAAAAUAAAGAACCGCCGGCGACGCACAGAUAAAGUGACACGGCGUGCUGCAGCAGUUACAGUUGGCGUGCAUAAAUCUGAUAAAACUAACCCAUGCAUAUAAUAAUUGGCUAUUAAUUUAAUUAAUAAAGUAUAGGGGAGGCGACAAGGUUUAUUCAUUGACGCUUAGUAUCGAUUUUUUUAUACAGUUAAAAUUACGAGUUAAUUUAAUUGAUUAAUUUUGUAGAAAUUUUUAUUUUUUAGCUUAGUUUAGUGAAAAGUUGAGGUGGAGCAGAUGGUUGACACGUGGCGUGGAUAUUUCUACUACCCUCGUCGUUACAACAAACCUCAGCAGUUUCCUUGACUUGCAUAACCGAGCCGUCCAAAUUUAAUUCCUUUUUGAAACCAUUACUUGGUAUGGAAUAAAAGGGGGGCUUAAGAUCCCUCAUCCAGAAUAAAAAAAAAAAAAACAUUUAAUAACUACUUUUAAAAUUUUGAAUUAGAGUUAAUAAUAAUUUAAUUUGUAAAUAAUUGAGGAACACGGGGCGGGGAUGAUGCACAUAGUACCACCCACCAACACUACUGUUCCCUAAUUUCCUUUCCAUUAUGUUUAUUAGCUUCUUACUUACUUAAAUUGGUGUGAAUUAAUGUGAAAAGGGGUAGUUUUAAUGCAGAGGAGGUGAAAAGUGAAAACAAUAACUACAUGCAUUUUUAUUUUUAUUUUUUUAAUGUUUUUUCAGAUGCAUGACUUUAGGAAUAAGCGUUACAAAAUCGAACGAAAUGUUGAGAUUCCACUCGCUCGGUAAUUAAAUGGGGAAAGCAAAGAAAGGUAUGUGAAACUUAUUUUCAUUAAUUAGCAGAGUAUAAAUCACUCUUUCCAUUCUCUCUCUUUUCUCUCUCUCUUCUUUUGUUGUGGGAAGCUGGGAAAUUGUGUGUCUUUUGGUGGAGGAUGCUUGUCACCUACUCUUUUUAGUUCCCACUCUCUUAUACUUCUCCUAAUUAACCUCCUCUUCCUCUCUCUCUCUCUCUCUCUCCCCUUCUCACAAAGCAAAGUAAUGUAAAAAUAGAUCCAAAAUAGAGAGAGAGGGAGAGAGAAAGAGAAAAAGAGAAGCUCUUUAUACUUCCACCACCACCACCACCAAUACUAGUACCGCUUCUGCUUCUGCUUCUGCUUCUGCUUCUGCUUCUGCUUAAUGGAGAAGCACGCUUGUAAGCUCUGCUCCCGCCGCUUCGCCAAUCGCGCGCGCAUCGGCGGGCACAUGCGCUCGCACGUCGUGGCGCGGCGAAGCCCCUGCAGGUCUCCUCGCCUCCUCCGCCUCCGCAUCGUCGUCGCCGGAGGAGGAGGAGGAAGGAGGAGGAGGAGGAGGAGGGGGACACGGAGGCGCGCGCGUACGUACUGCGCGCGAGAACCCAAAGAAGAGCUACAAGCUCGUCGACGCCGAGUUCGCCCGCCGCCGCCGACGCCCCGCGCUCUCCUCCUCCGGCGACGUGCUCGACCGCGCGAGCGAACAACCGAGUCUCCCCCCCGCCCCCUCAAGCGCCGCCGCGCCGCCGAUUCGAGCGCGCCGCCCCCCUUCCCGGACCCGAGCGGGAGCUCCUCCCGUCUCCAACGGCGCUUCCACCAACCGACGAGACGUCGCCCUCUCCCUCAUGAUGCUCUCCUCCCGCGACUCCUGGCCCGCCGCCCCGAGACCGCCUCCCAAACCCCACACGAGGGCUCCGACGCCGCGGCCCCUCCCCCGCCCCCCGCCGCCGCCUCCGCCGCCGGUUCCAGUGCGGCACCUGCAGGAAGGUGUUCCGCUCCUACCAAGCCUCGGCGGCCACCGCGCGAGCCACAAGAAGUCCCUACGGCAUGGUCUUCCCCCCACCCCCGCCGCCGCCGCCGCCGCCGCCAAUUCACGACGCCCCCAAGCUCCCCAUCAAGCUCCACCAGUGCCCCUUCUGCUCCCGCGUCUUCGGCUCCGGCCAAGCCCUCGGCGGCCACAAGCGCUCUCACUUCUCCUCCUCCUCCCCCGCCGCCAACGCCGCUGCCGCUGCGGUCGCUCCCCCACCCACUGCCACUGCCAAUGCCAAUUACGCCGCCUGCUUCGAUCUCAACCUCCCCGCCCCCUUCGACGACGAAUUCGAGCUCUCCGCCAUCUCCGACGCCGAGUUCGUCGCCAACCACCGCCACCGCCACCACCACCAUCCUCCCAAUUGAUCCCAAGUAAGCCAAUUCCGAAUUCCGGUUCAAGCACAACUGUUUAAUGAAUGUUCUUUUCUUUUUUAAUCUCCCCCCGAGAUAAUUAUUAAAACAGAGAGAGAGAUUAAAAAUCCAAUCCAAUCCAAUCCAAUCCAAUCCAAUCUUUUUCCAUGUUAAUUUGCUUACCUAUUAAUCUCUUCUGCUGUAUCUGUCCAUAUUAAUCCUCUCCUAUUUAGUUCAUCUACUAUUCUUGAGCCAUAUUUUUAGCUUAAUCAAUUUCGAAUUUAAUUAUCAUCAUGCAAGUUUAAUGUAUGUACAUAUAUAUGUUGCAUUUUCCAGCUGUAUCUUCCAACCGUCCAACCCAUCUUCUACUCCUUGUCUCUGUCCUUGCUUAUCCUUUUAUGCCCACUCAACAAAAUGGACAAUAUACGCAUCAAUUUAACUUUCUCACAUUUAUUUAUUCUAUCCUAUACGUGCGAGAAAACCAAGGUGGUGGGAGUAGUUAUUGGGUUAGCUUAUAGUGUCAACUUUUCGCUGUAGCACCGUAGCCUCUGUCCAAAUUGGUGUGAAUAAAAAGGAGAGAGAGAGAGAGAGAGAGAGAGAGAGAGAGAGAGAGAGAGAGAGAGAGAAAGAGAGCUCGCUCAGGUGUGCACACACUGUACUGCUGCUUCUGCUUCUGCUUCUGGUGCUGUGAAGCAGCAGCAGCAGCAGCAGCAGCAGGUGGUAGUGUAUAUUAUUAGCAGCUUAAUUAUUAUUGCAAAAGCGCUUCUGCUACCACUAGUACUUGGUUCUUUUCUUGGUUAGUUCAUUCAACCUUUUCCUCUCCUCUUUUUUUUUCCCCUUGCUUCUCUCCUCUUUUGUAGCCUAGUGGAUCGAUGCUUCGUCCCCAAGCGGCCACGUCUACCCACUAUACUACGGCUUUAUCUCAUCGCCGUAAUAAUACUUACUCUACGUACAUUAAAAUUGGUGUAAUUAGUAGAGCUUAAAUUAAUUUAGAACUGAUGUGUAGCUGAACAAAGUAUUAUCUACUAAAUAACACUUAGAUUGAAAAAAAUAUCGAAAAAAAAAUAAAGUUACUGUUUCAUUGGUUGGUGUAAGCAAUUAACACGGAGAUUAACGCAAAUGAUAAUUAAGGAAUUAACAACCUCAGUAGUUAUCGGGAUUUGAAUUGAAUGCGCGAGACGUGUAGCGUAUUGGUGGAAAGCGUAGUUUGCGGAUUCCUCUUCUAAAAGGUGGUGGCGUGACCGGACCAGGAUGUGGUUGGGCCGAGUCAAUGCGUGGAAUCGGUACCCUGGACGUGGUCUCCUUAUCCGAGGGACGUCCGAUCCCCGACGGACGGCUCGGAUGGACGCUUUAUUUUUCGUGUUUUUGUUUCUGUUGGUAUAAUUAGCUGGUGCACCACGUCAAUCCAUGCACCUUAGGAAAAAGCAUAGUGAUAGUUUCCGUUCGUACACGGCAUAGUUUAACUAUUCAAUUAACUUCAUUUUUCAAACUAAAACAUAUUGUAAUUAAUUAAGAAGAUAUGAGCAUCUGAAGUUUCAAAAUAAGAAAAUAUAUAUCAAAAUGAAACGGUUAUAAAUGAGCUUAAUUUAGUAAGAUUUUGUAAUUUCUCGAAUCAAACCCAAAUAAAUUCUUAUAAAUUUAUCCAUAUUUAAAUACGCUUUCAAAAGAUCAAUAUACCACCACCCUCUUGAGUCAAAAGAUUUCAAUAUAAUGGCUAUAAAUCGAAAUAUUUAUUGUAGUAUUGUUUUUAGUUAGUAGCUGAAUAAUUUGAAUUUCUAUUUUAUGUGGUAUUAUUGUGUUUGUUGAUAGAGUUGUAAUUUGGUGGAUAUGGUUAUGAUUUCAGAUAUAUUUUUCAAAUUUGAACUGUUACAGUUUUGAUUUCAAUUUAGGUUCGGAUUUUAAAUUAUGGGUUCAAUUUCAAAUUCGGUUGUCUCAAGAAUAGAACUGAANUAUAUAUAUAUAUAUAUAUAUAUAUAUAUAUAUAUAUAUAUAUAUAUAUAUAUAUAUAUAUAUAUAUAUACUAUACAACUUUUUUAGAAACACUCUUUAAUUUACUGUACCAGAAUCAGUGGUUUCAGAAACUGUUUCUCAAUCUCUAUAUAUAUAUUUUAUGAUAAGACAUAAAGAUGGUUGUCAAUAUAUAAUAAAUAACACAAGCUUUGUUCAUGAACGCUAUGGUGUGUGCUUAUUUUCCAAGUGACCUGGGAAUGUAAAGAAGCAUUCACAUGGUGUGUGGGCACCAUCUAGCCAGGGAGCUUUUGCACUUCCUAAUAAGUAAAUGCCAUUCCUGUUGCUAUCUUAAUGGUGCAAAAAGCGAUUUUUUAUUUGGUAGGUUAAUUUCAUCAUGCAAUUGCUAUUGCUUUUCAAGGAAGCUAGUGAACAAUCAGAUCUCAAGUGUUAUAACCCACGCAUUAUAAUUAUUCAUUUCCCAAUUUGUCUUCCCACGAAAUUUCCUCUUUAUUGAAAAAAAAAGACAUAUAUACCGAACCGUCCCUAGCCCAAGUGGCAAAACGGCUUGGUGGUUGGUAUCCGAGAUCCAAAUUCGAAUCCCAGUUGAUUUACAUUUCUAGCUAAGUUUAUUUCGAAAUGAAAUAAACGAAGCGGGUAGUAUGUUACCUUUCUCUCAAAAAAAAGAAAAAAAAGACAUAUAUAAAUAUCGCCACUGCCCGAUCAAAAUGUUUGUGGGUAAAAUAAAACAAAAUAAUUUAGAAUAAUUUUAACCUAUUUGCUAAGUAGCAUUUACAAAUUUAUACAGAUACUGCAUUAAAAACUUGUGAAAAACUAACAGAAGAGAUAAUAGAUUGGAAUGUAGUGCAUUAGAAAUUGUUACACGCAAACUGAAACCACAAAUCUCAUGGAUCUGAAAUCGUUGUUGACUUUGGAGUUUGGAAGGGUUUGAUUGAAGAAAAAUUGAAGACCCUUUUUUUUCCAUAUAUGAUGUUGUGGAGUUGACUCUCCAACCACUCAAAAAUUAAAUGGUCUCAAAAUCAUGUUUGGGGGGUGGAAGGGGGAGAAAAGUCAAAUUACAAAGAGGUCAACAUGUUAUUGAAUAUUGAUGAUGAUUCAUUAAUAGGGAGGUUGCCUAACAGUUAGGGAGAUCAUGCUGUAGAACCAUCUAUACUGAACUAAUUGCACUGAUAGUGCCCUCGAAAAAGGAAAAGCAUUAGGAUUCCAUUUCUCAUACGCAAAUCUAAUUUAAUUUCACACAUCAAUUUCGAAAAAAAAACCAAAGAAAAAAAAUUUCACUCAUGUUAAUUGUAUUUCCCCAUCUUCAAGAAUGAUGAACCAAAUACGGUGCUCGAUUGGCGUUUUACGGUUCUAAUAAUAUAACAUUUUGGUUAAAUUCUUUAAAUAAAAUUAUUGGUAUUCUUGUAGUGAGUCACGUAGAUAGGAUACAGAUUUUUCUUUUAAGAAAAAAUAGCAUGUUAUUUGCUUAUUUAAAAUGUACAGCAAUAGAUUUUGAACUUGAAAUUUUGAGUACUAAUUAGUAAAUUUUUUGCUACUUGCAUCAGAAACAGUGGUUAAGGGAUCAUAAUUUUUGAAAAAUUCUCGAUAGAGUUGGGACAAAACAGUAAUUCUCAAAAAAGUGUAAAAAUGUUGAAAAUAGAUUGUGGGGUGAAAAUUGAAUUGGCAUAUAUAAAAAGGAAGGCCAAAGAGAGAGGAUGGAAUCAUCCAGCCUGCGCUGCCCAACUACCUUUACUGGCCUUUCCAUAUUUUCUUAGAAACAUUAUUUCCGUGUUUGGUGAGAAAUUUUUUUUUUUUUUUUUUACUUUUCAUUUGAUUCUAUUUUUUGAUUAUGGGGUGAGAUGCAGCUUCAGUAAUAUAAGUAGUUUCAUGAUCUUCUCCAUCCACUAUCUCAUGAUUAUUAAUUGGAUGUCUCUACUUUUGAAUCAUAUAUAAUGUUAAAAAUCAACCACUUUAGUAAUGAAAUAUCAGAACCAGUUAUUAACUGUACUCAACACAGUUGUCUAAGAAUUUGAUGAUUGAUACUCGAGAUCUCAACUUUGUAAUCUAAUUGUUUCAUAUUUCGAAUCUGUAGGAAAUCGCACUUCUUUGUUGCUGUCAAGUGACAUUAUCUCUGCACACCUGAAUCUCGGAUAGAGUUGUACGGUACAUUACUAUUUUCUACUAACCCAACAGUUCUAAACUAAGCCAGUUCGCUUUACGGGAUUUGAAUUUUUCAUUGAGAACUACACUUUUUGAAAAGUCUUUUUUUAAAGAUGGAAAUUUUAUUUUGUGGAAAUAUUUUUAUUUUGUACAUAUUUUAGAAUAUCCAGAAACUUAUUAUUUCUGUGUUGGGCCUACAUAUUUUAUCUCAAGUAUUAGAUUGCUUUCUAGGCCAGAUGAUGCAAAUUUUAGCUUAGACCAAGCCCGUGGUUUAGACCCAAGGCUAAAAUCCAGCCCAAAAUAUGCCUUUUCUUUGCACCAACCCGGGCCUUUGUUUUGCUUACAUUUUGGGCCUCAGUAAUGGGCCGAAUAUAUGGUAUACCUUGUUUAUUAUUUCAACUGGGGGUGAGAACAAAACGGAUAUGGAUUAGAUAGUGUUCAAUCCAUAUCAAUAUCCUCGUAUUUACAUCAGAUACAGAUGCAGAUGCAGAUACAGGUUCAGAUACAGAUUCAGAUAUGUUAAACGGAUUUGGAAACGGGUUGGAUAACAAACAAAUAAAGAUGCGAAUUGAAAGGCUGGAAAAUAAAUAAAAGAAAAACAUAGAGGAACUGAGGGAUCUAGAGAAAAAACAAUGUCAAAUACAGACUCAACAUAAAUGUUACAUUUAAAAGCAACCUCUUAUUCAGAUCUUCUGAUAUCUGAAUUCGAAGGGAAGCAGUCAUUCUGAAUCCGAAUCCUAGUUUUGAAAAAUAUUCCCAACUCGCUAUCCAAAUCCAAACCCUAAGUUGGGGCUAGCUCGUGUUUAGCUUGUUUCAUAAACGAGCUGAUCUCGAGCUGGCUCAUUAAAAUAUCGAGCUAAAAAAUUCAACUCGUGUCAGCUGACUCAUAAAUAACAAGUUAACAGAUUAGAAAGAAUAUAUUAAAGAAAUAAAUUUACGAGAUCUUACCCAUUAGACUUUAAUAUUAGGAUUGAAACUUUACUGAUCUUUUUAUAAUUGAGUUGAGUUUUAUAUUUAGAUUAGACUAAAACUCAAAUAAUAAAAAUCUGUAAAUAUAUCGUAUAUAUAUAUAUAUAUAUAUAUAUAAAAUUAUUUAUUUAUAUAUAAAUAUAAAUUAUAUAAAUAUAAAAUAAAUGUAUUUAAGCUGUUAUCGAGCCGAAUAUCAACGAGCUGACCCUAACUCGUGUUCGACUUAUUUAUUAAACGAGCUGAAAAAUUCAAAUCAUAUUCGAUUCAAACUCGAACUUAUUUCAAACUGAAUACGAGUUGGCUCACGAAUAGCGAGCUGAAUUACCACCCCUACUGCCUACCUAAAGCAGAUAGCAAAAUUCAAAACUAUAUUUGAUAAUUUUUAAAUUUAGAGUCGGAUCGGAUCGGAUAAUGUUGUGACCUAUUAAACCCGAUAGAACCAGUUGGGCGGUGAGCCCACUACACGUGACUUAUAUGUGCGGCGGAUACCCGCUAGUUAAUUAAUGCUACCACUUGUGUGAACGCAAUUGCACCAUUCACUCUCUACAUUAUUUAUAGUCACGUUUCUUGCCCCACGACUUCACCGAAAAGCUAAAAAAUUACGACUUAAAUGCAUGGCACGUCUCUCGACAUUAUAUUAUUUUUAUAUCUUAAUAAUAUAAAAAUAUAUAUAUAUAAUUGGACUAAAAUAUUAUUAAUAGUAAUUAAAUUUUUUUCAUUGUCAAGUUUUUAAUAUUUGAAUGAAAAUUUAUAAUGUGAGGAAUAUUAUUAGUUGCCGUCUAAGGUUUAAUGUUAGUUUCCUUUAGAAUUUGAGUGGAUGGUUAGUUGAAUAGUAUGAUUAAAAGGCGGAAUUAAUUAAAAUAUAAAUUUAACAACUAAAAAAUUAAUAGCAAAAAAGGUCAAAUACUAUUAAUAGUAUUUCAGAUCAAAUAUAUAUAUAUAUAUAGAGAGAGAGAGAGAAAGAGAGAGAGAGAGAGAGUUGGGCUCGAAUGCUAUUAAUAGUAUUUGUCUAUUUUUGCUAUAUAUCAAGUUUUUAAUCUUUAGAUCAGUUUCUUUGGUCAUUUCUAACCAUUGGAUUAAAUAUUAUAAUUUUUAGAUGAAAAAUUAUAGGGUUAGCAUGAUAUUAAUUUCUUAGGAUUUGAGUGUUCCCAGUGAGUUAUAAUAUUUAAUCCAAUAGUUAUAAAUAAUCAAAGGAAUUAAUUCAAAAGCUAAAAACUUGAUAACAAAAUGAGACAAAUAUGAUUAAUAGUAUUUUAGCCCUACUCUCUCUCUCUCUCUCUCUCUAUAUAUAUAUAUAAAGAAAGAGUUGAGGUAGAAUACUCUCAAAAACACCAAAAGUUUGGUGCUUUUGGGUUUGCAGCCCUUAAAAAGAGUGAUGUAUGAGUAGGAUAAUAGAGGUGAUAGAUGAAAUAGUGUUUGAUCUAAUCGUUAUUAGUAGUCAAAAGAUAGAUCUAAGGGUUAAAAAUCUAGAAGCACCAACUAUUGGUACUUCUAGGUGUAUUCUUAUGGAAGUACGGAACCCUCCGCUUAUGGAAGUACGGAACCCUCCGCGGUUGCAAAUCGUUUUCGAUGUUGGGAGUUUCGAAUCGACAAUUGGCUUCAUUAGUCUUGAUCUAGAGUAUUAAAGUACCUAAAAAAUAUUUUUUUUGAAUUUGCCAUAUCGUUUGCCUCGUAAUCGAAGGAGCUCAAAAUCAAUAAUUUUAAUAGCCGAGAUGAGCCGUUUACAAGUUUAACAAUAUAAAAAAUAUUCAAAUCACGUAAAAUUUUGAUAAAAUUUUUUUUAUACUAUAUAAACAAUAUAAAUAUUUUUGAUCUAAAAUUUUAAUAUCAUAUCAUUACCUUUUGCAAGAUUUUUAUUUUCAACUGUUGAUUUUAAGCUCCUUCGAUCACUAGAUAAAUGAUAUCAAAAAAUAUAAAAUUUAUUUUCUAACUACUACUAAAAUACUCUAAAAUAAGUCUAACGGAGUCAAUUGCCGAUUCGAAAGUCUCAACAUCGAAAACAACUUGAAAACACAGAGGGCUUCGUAUUUUCAAAAGCACACCAGCCACACUUUACACACACACACACACACACACACACACACACACACUUUAAAACCACAACUACUACCUAAAUUGCACGUACCUGUAAACUAAAUUAAAGAUAUAUAGUUUUGGGCGUUGGGUGGUUUAAUAGCAUGGUAGGUAUUGCCGUUGAAGUUAAACUUGCACUUCAUAGUCUCCCUUCCUCUAAUGGGCCUGGAUUUAAUUACAAAUAUAAUAUAAUAGUAAUAUAUAAUUAAUUAUGCAAUUAGAAAUGUAAUAGUUAAAAUUACAAGCAUAUUAUUUGGUUGGAUAGAGUACAAAUUUUUUAAUUAUUAAUAAAUUGUUUGGUUGCAUUGAGAUUGCAUUUACAAACUUUGGCACUUCAUUUUUGGAUGGUAAUAUUAUCUUCAAUAUAGAAAAUAUAGAUUUUUUAAUUUAAAAGAUAAUUAGAAAGAUAAGUUUAGUUUUUAUUAAAAUUAUUCUUUUCAACUAUUGUAGUUAUUAAUGGCGAGGUCCGAAUUUUGCAAUGCAGUAAAUUUAGGCAUAGUUUCAGCUAUUAUAAUUGAGUCUUCUUCUAUAGUUUCAAGUGCACUAAUCGGAUUGAAAUGUAUUAAAUUAAUCAUUGAGUUUGAAUCUGUAUUGCAGUUAAUUGUAGUGCAAUUAUACAUACAUGUGUUAGUACUCUGCUUGCUGUAGAGCUUUUUUUAAAAAAAUGUGGUGGUUGAUGCAAAAUAGGGUGACAAAUAUUGAGAAGUUACAUGAACUGACAUUUAGAUAAUCAUAAGAGGAGAAGUUGUAUGCCUUUUAUUUUAGUUAUACUUAAUUCAAAUUUUAACUACUUUAAUAAAAUUAAGGGCACAAUUAAUUUACUGUGUAGUGAAACCUUACAUUUUCUUAAUUUUCUUCUGCAUCAAUUUACAAACAUUUAUAUGUGACUAAAGGAUAGUGCAUAUUACCGCAAUAUAUAUAGACAUUAUUUAUAAAAACAAGAAAAUAAAAUCCAACCAUAUAAAAUAAUAUAAAAACUGUUUAGUACGUAUAAAUGGCCCCGCUUGGUGUCGUAUUUGUUUUUAUAUUUUUAAUAAAAUAUUUUAUGCAUAAAAAGUAUAGCAGUGGAUAGUAGAUUACCUACAAAUCUUGCAUCCAAUUAAUGUCUUUACUAACAAUAAAAACUAAAAAUUUGAAAAUAUUUUUUUUAACUUCAAAAUUUUUUAAAUAAAUUGUCUGGUUAACUUAGCAAGAUGAGUUAUAUAUGUUAAUUAGCAACUAUAAUAACAAAAGAAAUUUUCAUCCAACACAUUAAAUUUUAAAAAAUUAGAGUUUAAGAAGGUGAAGAAAUUGUGAAAUAUAUGAAACAAUCGCUAUGAUAUAAAAACUUAAGUUGUUAGAGAACGGUAUUUAAAUACUUUUAUAUUUAAUGCUCACUCUUACGUCUGGAUUUAAAACUUUUCGUUAAACUCAUGAUGUGAACUUAAAUUAAAUGGCAGGAUAUUAAUUAUGUUCGGAGUCUAAUGUGACUUGAACUUAGAAUCUCCUGCUCUAAUACCAUAUAUAAAAUAAUAUAAAACAAUUUCUGUGCUCUAAAAAUUUAAGCUAAUAAAAUGUAAUAUUUAAAUACUUUUAUAUUCGAGAGAAAUAACAACGAUAUAUACUUACUAAAUUAAACGUAGUAAGCCUCUUUCGUUUUGGACUCGCCACGUGGAAAUUAAGGCACAAGAAAUUACUCAAUUUCAUUACUAUAGAAGAUAGAAGAUAGAAUUUAAUGAAACGGACCGUGGAGGGGAGUGCACACCCGCCUCCUCUACUUCCCACUCAAUCCGCCCCAUUAUUGUUCCCUCACCCUUCAUGCUACACAGUACGGUGACACCAUACUAAUUACCACGUAACUUGGGCCAUACACAAAUUAGACCCUAACACACCAAUACAUAGAUAUAUAAUUAUCCAUUCUAACUUGAAGGAUCACAAUUUAGGUGCUGUAGUUCACCACGGAGCGGUAGGUCGCGCCGGCGCACCACCCGGCCGGAAUCACGUUCUUCGCGACGAGGGUGUUGUCGGAUUUCCCCGACGUCAGUCGCAGCGAGAACGGCGGUCGCAUCGCCGGACCGGAAUUCAGCCUCCAGACGGCGCCCCACGACUGCUGCAUCGGAACCCACGACGUCGAUCCCUGCUGCAUGAUAUCGACCGCCGCGAGGUCGCCGUCGCCUCCCUCGUACUCGAUCAAAACGGCGAAGUAGUUCGGGUUCGAACCUCCGUCCACAUGGAACGCGACGUCGAUCCCGUGGUAGUUGCACUCCACCCUGCAAAACAAACCAUGGAAACAAUUAAAAUUUAUUCUUUAAUUUUCCAAAUUCUUAUUUUGAGCUCGAUAUUUUAGUUCAGCGUAGUCGCGUAGAUUCAAUUCGCACCUGCUGUACUGUAUUUGGAUCCUUCCGGCGUUUCGAAGCUGAUCGGCUUGGCCUGGCCUCGCCAUGGCUCCGAACGCGGUCCCGCUCAUGUCGAAGUGCGCGGGUUCGUCGAGGCACGGCCCGCCGGGGCAUUCGUCGGUGACCACGACGGUCACCGGGCUCUCCGAACAUGCCGCAUUGCCCGUGCAUUUCACCUGUUGUAUAUUCAGUUAGACAUAUGUAACGCGUAGAUGUUAGCCAAGUCAUUGUUUCAGAAAACUCAAGUUUUUAGAGAAAAAACGAUUAUUCUUACGGACCUGAUAACAAGCCCCGCAGCCCUUCCCGGACUUGAAUAUCGAAGGGCUUCCUGCAGCUAUCAUUGACGAGAACGGCGGCUUAUCGACCGCAUCUUGGUACCCACAAGCACCACCUAUAUAUAUAUAUAUAUAUAUGCACGUACAUUGUGAGAGAGAGAUCGUAAGCUACAUACAUAUAUAUAGAUAUACAGAUGAUGUACAUAUUUAUACCGUCACUCCCCGCUCCUAAUGGGCUUCCGUACCAGGUGGCUCCACCACUAGACCAAGCUGAGGGGUUGGUAUAUGUAUAGUUCGAGAGCUUCUUUGGGUGGAAACAAAAGCAGGGAUUAAUGAGUGAGAGCGAAAAUAAGGAGAGAAUAAGGAGAAAAAUAGAAGAGGAGAAGAGGUGAGGAAGAGGAGCCAUUGUGGCUUAUACUCAGCAAGGAGAAGUGGUGGAUAAUUUGUGAUGCAAAUAAGCGAUAAUUGAGGGGGCCUUUUAUAGCCAUGUAGUGUGGGGAAUUUAGUUUUUAUUUUUCUUUUUAUUGUUAUAACGUGUCAACCGUAAAAAAGUUUGUGUCACAUGGGUUAGGGGUUUCACAUGGGGCUAACACCCUCGGUCACAUGAGCUUUUGGCUCCAUUUGGAAAUAGCAUUUAAACUCGUGACUUACUCGGCUCAGUGUUGAACUUAAACUCCGAACCUAACUCUCAUAAUAAAGAAUACUUAAAUCGUGCUAAUUUGGUUUCUGAUUAAAUAUGCCUUAAUAAAGCUUUAUUGAAAAGUUCUCUCUGAAGAUUGAUUAGGCUUCUCGCUCUAAAAAAAAAACUUUAAAAAAUGCAUUUAAAUCAUAUAUUUGUCACUUAAGCAUAAUUGUACUUCAUCUUUGAAACGUAAGAAAAUAAGGAUUCUAGUAUCUCUAUAUAAUGAUUGUUUUGUUUCUUCGUAUGCAAAAUCGCCCAUAAUUUCAACUUCGUUAUUUUCAAACAUAGUGAAAAGGUCAUUUUAGAACAAAAUUUAUGGAGAGGAUGGAGAGGAGCUCCCUGAAACUAAAACAAAAUUUAUGUACAAAUUCAAUAACGACGACCUGUAAAAUUUAAACAAAAGAAAUUACAAGGAUUGAAGUUUUAUUUCAGGAUAGUAUAAGGACUCUCGUAACAUUUUAUCCUUAAACAAAAGAGGAGAGGCAGUUUUUCUAGUUGUAGUGGGCCCGCCAAGGACAAAUUACGGCACGAGAUUUGAGGCAAUCGGUCCCGAAUCUCCGAUCGUUGAAAGCGAGGCCUCCGCCUCUUCCCCCUUAACCGACCCGUUGAUAGUGGAUUCGGGCCAUUGAACCCCACCGUGGGGCCCACCCUAAAACUUGAACGGCUCAGAUUCAUCCGGACCCAACGGCUCGGAUUCGGCCGUUAUUCGGUGGUUUAUCUAUACCAGAACCCGUAAUCUUCGGCGAGUUUUUUUUUAAAAUUUACCCACGACAUUCGGGGGUGCCUUUAUUACUCCUUAAUUACAAAAACUUUAUGCUUAGAAAAACGUGACAUUGCUAAUUAAACAUAUUUUGACUAACUGUUGCGAUAAUAAUUAUUCAUUAAAGUGCAUAUAAAAAUAUGUUAAUAACUAGCUACUGGGUCGUUGAGUUGUAUUUUUAUUGCUAAUUGCGAGCAUCGAAAGGCUAGUUAGGAUCAAUAACGUGUCAUUUUUCAUGCAAACAAAUGUAUCGAAGAUGAGUGAUUGAUACAAAGUCAUGUUCGACCUCACCAGAUCUAAGAGAAAAGCGAAGAUUAAAGAUAAGUAUAGUGUCUGAGCGAAUCUGGUCGGAUCCUUUUGAUCUAGUUUGCUCAACAUGGUUUUCGCAAAUCGGGUGAGACCACCCAAUAUUUUUCGUUGGUGCCUAAGCAAAUCUGGUCUGACCUGUUUGAUCUGAUUUGCCCAACCUGGUUUUAACAAAUCGGGUGAGACCCGAUAUUAUUUGUUGGGCCGGAUUAGGCAUCCAAAAAUGGAGGUCCAAAAGAAUAUUGGCUUGGCCCUUUUGAGCUAGGGGUGAAGCUGCGUCAGAUGAGGAGACCCAUUAUUGGAUAUAGAAAAUAUAUUUAUUGUUCAUUAUAAUAUUAUCUAUUGUAUUUACUCGAGAAACUUAUCCAUUUAGUAGACUAGCUAAGUGGAUGUAUUAUGCACGUGCCCAACUAAAAAAACAUAUUAAGUUUUAUAAUUUUUAUUUCAAAUUCAUACUUUUUAUUAGUAUGUCAUCCAAAUAGCGUAAUAUACAUCAAUAAAUUAAUCAAAAUUUAAUUUAAUAAGAUUCCAUAACAAAGUUUGUUGAUUGUCUGUGUACCGCGCGUCAAAAAAUAAUGACAGGGAGAGAAGGGGAAGCUAUGAAUAUAUAUAUAGAGAGAGAAUUAGCGCAUAAAUUCAACUAAUGAGAGAGAAUUGAAAACUAUGAGUUUUAAUUAGAAAAAUGUACUAUUGGCCAAUAAUAUUUCUUCUUUUUUUUUUUGAGAGAGAUAGGUAAGACGCUACCCGCUUCGUUUAUUUCAUUUAAAAAUAAACUUAGCUGAAAAUGUGAAUCAACUAGGAUUCGAACUUGGGUCUCGGGUACCAACCACCAAGCCCUUUGUCACUUGCUUUAGGGACGAUCAAUUGUUCAAUUGGCCAAUAAUAUUUCGAGUUUAGACUUACAAGGAUAUUUUUGAAAUGUAUAAUGACAUAUUUUUCAUUCGACAUCCAUUAUAUUAGAUCCGAUAGCUGAAAAAUAAUUUACUAAAAUUAUUUUUAAAAUAGGACUUUUUUUAAAUCUAUAGUUAUUAGUGAUAGAAUCUAAAAUUAAUGGAUGUGAUUAUUUUGAAAGGAGUGGUAUUAGAUUUGGAAAAAAGGGUCAAGUUUGGAAUUAAACCUCCAACAAAAACUUUCACUUUUAAUAUCUCGAAUGAGAUAAUCAAAUCCAGCUUUUAAGUUAUUUUGUAAGAAUAUGAUAAAUUAUAUCGUGGGUGAAAAAUAUAUUAUCCUAUCAAAUUAUGGAUAUUAAUAUUUUUUGAAAAGUAAAAAAAUCAGACUCCUUUGCUUCCAAUUGAACAAGAAAAAUUUGAUACCGAAUUCCGAUAUCUAAAUAGAGUUUUACUGAAGAAAUUUAUAAUAUACAAUCGAGAAAUCAAAUAUUUAGGAUGGAAUGCCAUAUUUAGGCUUGAAGUUAUUCUUUUUGAUUAAUUUGUUUUCAGGUGAGAUGUUUUAUUCUCCCAAUUCUUAAAUAUUAAGAUAUUUUAAGAAAUCAAAAUCAAACUUCUUACUUUUAAUUGAAAAAGAAAAAAAUUAUCAUAUAAAAUAAUUAUCUUUAGGCAAUUUGUCAUAUACGGUCUAUGCGGAUCGCAAGUGCUAACCAACUAUUUGAAAAGCACGUGCUGAUAGGUAGGGCGCACCCAUUGCAUUUAAGGACUCAACCACAGUAUUUACGGGUUUCGACCUGUAACUCAACCCACCUGUAUAUUAAAUCUAUUAUUGAGCCUCUUGCCGUUAGGUCUCUUGAGGAUCAUAGCCCCACUCAACUUAUUAAUUAGUCUCAUGAAUUUAUUGUUAUAGAACAGAAAGUUGGACCUAUUUUAGUCAAUAAAAAUAACCAACUAUUCCAAAAGUAUGUGCUGAUAGGAAUGGAGCACCCAUCGCACUUUAGGGUUCAACCACAGCGCUUACGGAUCUCGACCUGACUCAACCCAUCUAAACGUUAGGUCUAUUGUUGGGCCUUUUGUCAUUAAAUCUCUUGAGGAUCGCAACCCUAUUCAACUUAUAAGGCUCAUCAAACUCAAUUUAUUAAUCUUCUAAAUUUAUUAUCAAGUAAUAAAAAAUUAAAUCUUUUUAGCCUAAUAAUAAAUAGCCAACAGUCUUAGGCAAUUGAUAGCGCUUGGGCCCAGCUAGUGCUCAAUUACUAGCUGAAUUAAUAGGCUUAUUUGGAUUAUCUAAAAAAAAAAAAAAAAAAAAAAAGNUUACUUGGACUGGCGGUGUUUACUGAAAAUUUGAAAGUGCUUCCCGCCACAACUUUAAAAUGCUGCAGACCGUAGUACUCUGUAGUCGCGAGCUACACUGCACGUCUGCACCUCCCCCCUAUUCUACAUUGUCAAAUCAUCCGAAUUAAUUGCUUUGACCACCGAAGUAAAAUCCUUUUAUUUAUUUAUUUUUUUUUUUUAAGAUAGAUAGCAUAAUGCCCGUUUCGUUUAUUUUAUUUAGAAAUAAACUUAACUAGAAAUAUGAAUCAAUUAGGAUUCGAACUUGAGUCUCGGAUACCAAUCAGUAAAUUCUUUGCCAUUUGCUCUAGAAACGGUCGGUGUAAAAUCCACUCUUUUAAUCUAAAGAAAAUUAAUAUUUAUAUAUAUAUGGGACAAUUGUUGCUUAAGGUGCUUAAGGAGGCUUUAUAUGUUUCACCAGUAAUUUGCCCUCUACCAUAGAAGGUUUGCUCUUUUAUUGACUUAAUCAUUGGCAUUAGAAACACGGUGGAUAGUAGUCAUUAGAUUUUGAGACAUUUGAAAAUUUGAUUUCAUUACGUACCUAAAAAUAAGAUUCAAAUUAAUAUGCGUCAUUCACGGAUUCAUCACGUGGUCGACUCGUGAAUGUUCUCUGUAAUUUAAAAUGAUAUUCCUGAAGAUUGUUGUCAAAAUUACAAUUAUAAUUGUUACGUGACAAAGGUCUCUCUCAUGCUUGAUCACAAUGGUGAGAUCAACUUUAAUAAAGAAAAAAGAUAAAGGGUGGAAAAAGAAUUGCAACCCAGAUAAGAGAUCUAGAGGAAAGGAUAAAUCUAGAUGAUGCUCCGCAUUGGGCAUGGUACUUAACUUUUUCUUCAUUACUCUUUGAAAGCUGCUGUAUCAAAAAAUAAUAUUUUUAAUAUUUAUAUUCAGUAUUUUUUUUAUAUUUGAGUUUAAGACUUUUUUAAUAGGUCUAAUGCGUAGAUUUGAAUUAAAUAAAAAAAAAAUAAGUGAGACUCAGGCUUAAUGCACAUUUAGACUUAGAUAAAUAUUUAUAUUCAAUACUCUUUUCACGUCUGAAUUCAAAAAAUUUAAUAGAUGCGCGCUUGAAUUAAAUGAAAUAAAAUUAAAUGGGACUUAGGAAUUGAUGAGAUCCAAAUUGAGGAGCUGAAAAAGAAAAAGAAAAGUUAUCCUCAAAAGCUUAAGCUACUGUGAAACUGAAUCUUAAUAUUUAUGUUGAAUAGCAUGUGUUGUUAAUUAUUAUACAGUUUCGGCAUUUAUUGGAGACACUACCCGGCCUCUCAUCUAAAAGCAUUAAUUGGUAGCUCAAACUACUCCAAAAUUUCCUUUAUCAAUGGGCCCUGAAUAGAUCCGAGGCAAACUCGAGUCAGGUCAUAAAGGGUUAUUGUCUCCUUUAUUCUUGGUUCGGGUCCAUUGUCACGUGCAUUGUCCCCUUGUAACCUCCUCACAAUGAAACACUUAAUUAUUUAGUUAUUUAGUUCGUUACACUUUCUUUUCUCAACUAACCAAAAAAAAAAAAAAAAAAAAAAAAAAAAAAUUGAAAGCACAUGCUUAUGAUAACGACCAGUGGAGGGGAGAGCAUCCUCCUCUACAUCCACCGUCGCAUUUCACAAUAAUUAUAUUAAAAUAAAACACCAUAUUACACUUCCACGGUUCCACCACACCAAGCUAGUACUAAUUACUAAGGAUCACACAUAAAUUUAGACCCUUACUUCAAACGUAGCCCCUUAUAUAUGGAUCUCCAAUACGAAAUAACUUAAAAUAGUGCUUCUUAGGUGGUACAAUAAUAUUUGAUCACACUCGCUUUUUAAGUACUGUAGUUCACGAUGGACCUGUAGACCUGGUUCGGUUGCCAAUUGGCCGGAAUCACGUUGCGCGCCACAAGGGUGCGGUCGGAGGUGUCGGUGGUGAGCCGGAUCGAGAACGGGCCCCGCAACGGGCGGCUCGUGUCCAACCGCCAGAUCGCGCCCCACGACUCCCUCAUCGGAGUCCAUGCGUUGGAGUACGUGGAUUGCGCUGACGACGAGGAUUCCAUGAUGUCGACCGACCGGAGAUCACCGUCGCCGUCCUCGUACUCGACCAGGAUCGCGAGGUAGUUCGGGUUCGAGCCCUCCUCGACGUGGAAGGCGAUGUUCCGGCCCGGGUAUUCACACGGCACUCUAUAAAUUAACAAAGCGAAGUUGAUUAGUAAAUAAGUGCUAUAUACGGUUUCUUCAUUAUGUUAUUGGUCCAUUUUGAUUCUGUACUUAUGUUCCAAAAAUAGUACAUUUUUCUUUUCCCUCCUUUUUUUUCGAUCAAAGGGCCAAAUAACUACCAACUACUGUCCCAACAUACAGUUUUAAAAUUUGAUGUACAACCUAAUUAAAGUACCAUUUUGUGUAUUUUAUGAACCGUUUCUAGAGCAAAUAGUAAAUGGCUUGAUAGUUGGUAUCCGAAAUUACAAAUUCAAAAUUUUUUUCCGAAAAGAUGAUUACAUAUAUAUAUAUAUAUAUAUAUGGUUACCUAGCAAACUGGACUGGGAGAAUUCCGGCGUGGCGAAGCACGUCCUCCUUGCCGGGGUACGCCAUCGACCCAAACAAGGUCCCGCUCAUGUCGAAGUGGUAGGUCUUGUCGAGGCAGACGCCGCCGAGGCAUGCGUCGGUGAUGAUCAGGGUCGACGGUUUUCCGGAGCACGCCGGGUGGCUGUUGCACUUCACCUGAAUAUUUCCAACCCAAUCAAUUAAGUUACAAGUAAUUUAAUGAAACAAAAAACUAAGGACAAAAAAUUAAAUGUGUAUAUAUAUAUAUAGCUAGCUAGUAGUUUAGACCUUAUAACACGAGCCACAUCCCUCGCCGGAUUUGAACAGAGCAGGGUUUCCGCAUGAAGUCAUGGACGAGAAAGGAGGGAGAUUUACAUUUUUGUACCCACAUCCACCACCUAUAUAAAAAGACAGGCACAUUUAUGACUAAACUUGUAACAUUAACCACAUCUUCAUACAAGUUAAGUAGGUGGAAAAUUACCAUUAUCGUCUGGGCCGGCACCGGUGGGGCUACCGUACCAGGUCGCGCUUGCGGUGUUCCAGUUCAAUGCGGCUUCGGACGUGGAGAAAUUGAAGCUUUUGGACUUAAAGCAGAAGCAGGGACAAACAAACAUAAGCGAAACCAAAAGAACUACUGAAGAAGAGCCACUAAGAGAAAAAGCCAUAUUGUGAAGUGGGGCUCUUUAGAGAGAGGGAAUGAUCAGAGAAUAGCUUGGUGGGUGCACAAAGUGUGGAUUCUAAGGUGGUAUUUAUAGCAAAGGGGAAAAGAGUAGUAGGACACGUAUUAAAAUAAACAAAAACAUUUAAAUAAAAAAAGUAUUAAAAGAAACCACCCAAUCUUGUGGAUACAUUUAUUAAAUAAAUAUUGUGGUUGGAAUCAAUUAACUAACUGGAGGUCAGUUGCUGGACCCCACGCACACUAUGGUUUCACAUGGCGGUGAUGGGCCGCAUCGAAGCAACCACCACGUUGUGCUGCGCCGGAGCUAAAGCCCAGUCACAUGGUUCGGGAACAGCACGUGGGCCCCGCCACAUUAAAUUGAUUCGCGACUUGUGGAUUGUGAAUUUUAUUAUUUAUUGUUUUUUUUUUUGGAAAAAAAAAAUAAAUUAUCUCCGCGAGAUUGCGACCGUUUUUCCAGUUGGGUUCGGUGCGAGCCUACAACUUUAACCACGCCGUGCACGACUUUUGAGGCCGCGUCUCCCGCUGACGCUGCCGUUGAUUGUGGGUUUCGGUCCGUGAAAAAAAAAAAACAUGGAAAGCACCGGUUAUACCGCGAACAUGACUUUUCCGAUCAAUAAAAUUAUUUUUUUUAAUUUAUCUACCACAUCAUUAUUAAUAAAAAAAUAUUUAUAUUAUAUUUUUUUAAAAAAAUAAUAAUUUAAUUGAUUUGCUAUUGGUAACGUGAUGUAAGUACGACACAAGUAAAAUUUCUCCCCUUGAGCACUAAAUUUAAUUACUUAGCUAGUUUAGUGACCUAGUUUAGCUAUUAUUUAUUUAAAUUUCUAUUUGAGCUAAGGAGCCGUUUGAUUUUUCAGAAACAUGAAAAUAAACAUUUUGAGGAAAAGACUUUUUUAUGAAUUUCUCUUUUUAGUUCUCCAUCAUUUUAUAAAAAUUAGUUUUUUUAAAAUGCUUUUUUUUCAAAUUUUAUAAAAAAUUAGUUUUUUUUUCCUAAAACAUUCGAAAAAUAAAAGCAUUGCCAUGAAAUUUGGAAACUAAAUUUUCAAAAAAACUUGUUUUUUUUUUAAAACCAAUUUGGACUAAAAACUGAAAUAGAGAUUUUUUUCAUGAAACUGUUUUUUUUGGAAAAAAAAAUUUCAUGUUUUUUCGACGAACCAAAUACCAUAUAUCUUAGGGACUAUUUAGAAAUCGAAAGUCAAAGUAAGAAAUUUAUGAAUUUUACGAACUUGACUUUGCCAGUUUGCCUCCCACCCAAUUGAAAUUGAGAGACCAAUUUUAGUAUAAUCAAUUAAUCGUGAGUGAAAAUUUGAGUAAUUUAGUAAUUCAGUUCUAAAGCAAACACCGAUGUCUAUGAUUUAUAGCGGAAUAAAUCUUUUAUUUGGAUCAAUUGAGCAUAUGAAAUGAUUUGUUACCUCUAAAUAAAAGGCGGUUUUACACUUUUAAAUGUAUAUAAGUUGUACAGUAUUAUUGAAGGUCGUGAUGUUUUUUUUUUUUUUUUGGGGUAGUAUAAGCGUAUAAUAUUUGCACUAGAAUAGAUAUAGUUUUGGGCAUAGAUCGAGGUGCCUAAACUUGAAUCUGGUCAGAACCAGAUCGCAAUCAGAUAACAAUUUAAAUUACUAACACACAUGUUUUGUCCGGACCUGCAGGUUUUGGAUCGACCCAGUAAUAAAUUCCCAAUUCAGCAUAAACAAAAUAACUAUUUAGUAAUUUAGCGCAAUUUCACUUUAUCACACAGUAGUUCACUAAUAAGUUACAUUUAAUUAUUCUACAGUUUUACUUUUGUUUUACUGAAAAUACCUAUCGUUAAAUUAGAUAUCAAAGUAAAAUUUUUAAAACCACAGGAUAAUACUCUGUUUAACGAUAAUCUAUUAAUAUAAAACGAAAAUAAAACAGUAGGAUAAUUAAAUAUUAUUUUUUAAUCAAAAGGUGACGAAGUCAAAAUAUGCUAAAUUACAGAAUAAUUUAACUGUGACCUUUUGAAAUAAAGGAGAGAUAAAAUAAAAAUACACUAAAUCACAAUAGGAUAACUUAUUGAAGUUUAUUCUAAAUUUAUUUUGCUCAUGGUCCGCAUAUUUAUACAGUAGUUCCUUAGCUGAAGUUCCUCUAUGCACGAGCCAAAUUAAUUAGUAUCUUUCCUGAACCAAGAUUUACCCUUUUUUCGCGCGUUCUUCCUUGUAAUCAUUUGGCGCCAUUAGCAUGUAAAAUUUGAUAAUUUUAAACAAUAAUAAACUAAGAUAAAGGUCGAUUAAUCGCAUUGAGUGAUAGACUUAAUUGAGCUUUACGCUUUUGGCCUUUGUUUAAUUUUUUCCCAGCCAUUUGGGAGCAAAACCUGCAAAGUUUGGACCCUUCUAUCAGGGUAAAGAUAAAGGCUAAUUAUUCCAAUUUUAAUGGUCGAUCCUUUCUCACGCCAUGUGAUCGGUCGAGCAUAUACAGUAUAAUGCUAUAUUCGAGCUCACAAUAAUUGAUUGCAGUUAUAGGCAUCAUUUGGAAGUUAUGAUCAAGCAUACGCAAAGUCUCAGCGGAAGAUAUAGCAAUUGAUAUCUUAGAAUGUGUCCUAAAGUUUAAGAUAGUUGUAUAGUUUUUUUUUAGUAUCAAUAUACUGUUUAAACACAACAUUUGAGAUCUAACUUCAACCUCUAAGAUGCUCAGCAUUACUACACUAUUAUACAUCUUUCAUUUGGUAAUCUUAAUUAUUGCUAUAGUUAGUUGAGUUUCUGCUUGAUUUGCUUUUGGUAAAUGAGCCUUAAUUGCACAGUUGAGAAUCCGAAGAUAUGAUGGUCGGUAUUCGAUGUUUAUUCAAGUUUUAAAAACAGUUACUUUAUAUUUCUAGUCGAGUUCAUUUUUUAUAUAGGAAAGUCAAAUUUUCUCAAUAUAAUUCAAAAAUAAGAAACAUACAUUAGAAAAUGUUUUACUGUGCUAAUUUUGAAUUCGAGCUCCUUUUAACUGGAGAGGCCAUAAUAGGGGCUGGACCAUUCGACAUUGUUGCUCGUGGUCGUGGUGGAGUCGAACCGUGUUGUUUUUAAUUGGUCCAGUUUGUAGGUCGGUACACUACAUAAACAGUUUAAAGGGACAACUGUAAGAGCGAGACGAGGCACGAUGUUGUCACUCACGAGCCUGCAGGAGCAAUGAUAGAUGCUUCCGCGGUUUCAGCAAGCGAUGCCUGUGUGUGACGUGCAUUUGCUUCUCUGUCUAUUAAGCUUUUGAAAUACAACGAUUAUUUCAUAUAUUUUAUAUAAUAUUAAAAAAUAUAUUUUUAAAUUCGAAUCACGUCAGAUUUCUAGCAAGUAUUAUUAAUUUUCUUCUAUUUAAUUUAAUUCUACAUCAUCAAUUUAAACUUUUGAACUACAACGAUUGUUUUAUAUAUUAAUUUCACAGUUUGUGAGAUUUCACGAAAAUUUGGAUGUCUGAAUAAGUUAUUUAAUAAUGAUUUAUUCAUUGUGAAUUUUUUUUAGUAAGAAACUAGUUCGAUUUUUACUUCUUAAAAAGAUCUCAGUAUUUAUAAUUCACCAAGAUAAUAUAUUUCACGUACGGAAUAAUUUAUUUUAUUUUUAAAAAAAUAACUCUGAAUAUGACAUUCAAUUUAAAACAUUUGAUGACGAUCGUCAUUUAUCAAAUGUACAACUUUUUUUGGUAAAUUAUGAAGAUAUACUUAACAAAAUACUUAUGUAUCCAAACAUGAUUGAAAACUUAUUUUCCUCACACAACAAGCUGUGUAUUUAAUUAGUCUCGCUUCGAAGGUUUUUUUUGGAUUCAGGUCUCUUUGGCGAAAUAGUGCAGGAGGAAGCUAAAACAAAGUAAUUUUUAAUUUUACUACAGAAUUUAUUUUGUUAACAUUUUAUUAUAAUGCUUCUCAUAAAGCUAGCUCUAGUAGUACUAAAAUAAUAUUUCAUCACAUAUUACUAAUCUCGGACCGAACGAACAUUAUAGCCCAAUGUACAGGAUGUGGGAUUAUAAGUGAUUCUAAUAUAUAACGCCGUUCUUAGACCUCAUUACUCAGAAAACUUUUCACAGAUCAAUAUAAAUCUAAGAUCAGAAACAACAGUUUCAAAUUUAAACUUACACGAGAGUUUGAAUAUCUGACCUUAUAAUCAGCAUCUGAUUAUCUAGUCAUCAACAGCUUGUUGCACCGUAAGAAAUGUGGUAUUAUUAGUAAGAUUAUUAUUGCUCAUAAAAACGGAUCAUAUCAAUCAGAUCUCCGAGAUGUGCAGCACAUGCACACCUACUGGAAUGAUUACGAAGACUAAAGAAAAAUAUCAUGUUACUUUGUUUACAUGCAGCCUUUUGCACUGUCACUGUGAUGGUCCACAUAAUAAAGUGAGAGAAACUUUUGAACAGACAAAAUCUCUUGCAUACUACGUACGAGCAGUGGACACCUUGACAUAAGAGACCCAUUUUCCCACGGAACAUUUUGUCCUUACUUAUUUAAAUGCUUCAUGUUUUAAAAUAUAAUCCUUAUAUGUUAUUAAUGUACUAAUAAUGUAUUUAGCAUUUUUAGAGUAUGUAUGUUAGUAAAUUAAAAUUUAUUGUAUUGUAAUAUAUUUUUUGAGAGUAAAUUAUUAGCAAGCUAAAAAUUUUCGUUCAUUAGAAGAUGAAUAAGAUUUAUAAAUCUGAGGCUUUAAGGUUACGUAAAAUAACAAAACUACAAAAACAAAGAAAAAACAAUUAAGAUGGGAUCUAACAUCUAUAGAGCUCUACUAAAAGCUCCAACCAUCUGUGUAUCUCUAUAUCAUUCUGCAUUGGUGAUUUCUUUUUUCUCUUUUUACGAAAGAUAAAAUUAUUCCUGUGCAGUCAUAUGCCCACCAAGAUAUUACUGGUGUGCUUAAACCGUUCGACCUUUUAUAAGCUUAGCUUAGCGUUAUAAAAAUAGCCCAUAAUAAGAAGUUAAAAACCAUUCUCGUAUUCUUUUUCGAAUUUAGUUUAUAAGAACACUAUGGUAAAAAAAGAUACAUCCCGUGAACAAAUCAUCCACUAUCUUAUUCUCUUAAUCAAAUUAUCUUGUACGUGCACUCUCUUUCUUAAUUAAAAUUAAACACACGUACAAAAACCUUCUCUUUUAGCUGUACUCUUAAAUUUUCAAAUUUGUGGGGAUGUUGGGAUCCCUUAAGCCCUCAAUCUGUUAAUAAAUUAUUCAGAGAGCUUAUUACAAAGCAAUGGUUAAUUGUUACUCCAUGGCCAUGUUGGCUUAAAUGGGCCAGCAUUCUGCCAUAUGACGGGAGGCCAUGUGGGCCGAGUCAUAUUCGAAAUGGCGUAAGGCUGGGUUGGGCUGAAUCAUGUUCGAAGUGGCGUGAAGCCAGGUGGGCCGAGUCACAAUCGAGACCCGUGGGCGCUGUUUCUGUACGCUUUAAGUGAAUUAGUUCCGUAUUUCUAACAGCUCGAGCAUUUGGGAUUAAUAGUUAGCGCCAACGAUCCGACAAGUGGUAUCAGAGCCAAAGGUCACAGGUUCAAUUUCUGCAUGCUGCAAAUGUAUGCAGGUACUGAAGGGGGGAUUGUUGGCUUAAAUGAGCCAGCAUCCUGCCCUGUGACGGGAGGCCAUGUGGGCCGAUUCAUGUUCGAAGGCCAAUUAAUUGAAUCAGUAUGCAAGAACAAGCGAAGGGGAGCUGUCGCUGUACUCCGUUUAUAUCAUAUGGAGUUGUCAAUUUUGGUAUGGAUGCAUUGCAUUUAAAUUUCUCAUUAUUAUUAUGCAGCACAACAAUAAUAUAUAUAUUAUAAUAUAUAAAUAUAAUUUUAUGGAUAUUUGUAGCAUUAGGCAUGGCCGUUUGGUAUAUAGAAUUAAACAUAAUAUUUUAAAUUUAGAGAUUGUUGAUUUAAGUGUGCAUUUGGUUUUUCAAAAAAUAGCCUAGAAAAUAAUUUUAUAGCUGAAAAAUUAUUUUUCAUCUGUUUUAUUAUAGGAAAAAAAUACUUUUCCUAAUAUUUGUUAGAUUUUAUAAAAAACUAGUAUUCUUACUUUAAAGUUUUUAAUUUGAAAAAAAAUGAAAAAAUUAUUUUUUUAUAAACACUUGUUUUCUAGUAAAAAUGGCUGAUUUGCAUAAGAAAUGUACUAGUUUUGCGAUUUUGCAAAUAUAGGCCAUUAUUUUUAAUUUUACAGAUUUGAACCGAAUUUUCAGAAAAACUGACCAAAAUGCCAUUUUAUUCUCUUUUCUCUCUUUUUUUUUUUUUUUUUUUUCUUUCGAAAACAUAGGCCACUUGUUUUCUUUAAACAUGGCGCACGGGGUGCCGAGGCUUGCGCUGGCAAAAGUGGUCGUCAUGAAAGAUAGAGUGUAACUUUUGUUGAAAAAGUGCAAAUUUUAUAUCAAAAAAUAUGAUUUUCAUCUCAAAAAGUACAACGUUCAUCUUAAAUAAUACAAUUUUCUUAUGAAAUAGUAGAACUUUAUUUUAAUAGUGUAAUUUCCUAACUUUUUUUAUAACAGCGAUGAAAUAUAAUAAUCUUUCAAGUAAACAAAAUUUUCUUUAUUUUUUUUUAUUUUUUUUUCUACUAUCUAUAUUUUUUUUUUGCUCUUUGGAGAUGGGCACAUUUUCGUCCUCACCUUUACAAACUACGAGCACCUACUCGGUCAUGACCUUAUCGCUUUCAUCUGUUCCUCCCUCACCCGCGCCUACUUCAAGUUGUGCUCUUUGGGCGCCGGCAUUGAUGCCGAUGCCAGCGGAGGCGGCACUGAGUUCUUUUCCUCCGGCAUUGACAUCAGUACCGACGUCGGCGAAGGUGAAGGCGAAGGCUGAGAAAGAGGAAGAAGAUGUAGUGCCGUCAUCACUACUGUCGCCGAGGGCCGCGAAGGUGGUGGAGAAGAGUCGAAAAGAAAAAAAAAUGAGAGAGAUAAAGAAGAGAAAAAAAGGAAUAAAAAUAUUUUAGUUAUUUUUUAAAAAAUUUGACUCAAAUUUAUAAAAUUUAAAAUAGUGAAAUAUUUUUGUAAAAUUACAAAACUAGUAAUUUUUUUUAAUGUAAAUUAGCCAAAAAAUAUUUAUAUAUUUUUUUCAAGGAACCUAGAAUCACUUUAGCUUUUAUAUAUGUGUUCUUUUCUUGAUGUGAUGCCCAAGUCACUGCUAAGCAAUUUGAUCACAUUUGUUGUUAAUGCGAUCCAAACAUCGACCUGAGGGCUCCACUUCCAGGAUUUUGCCUAGAAUUAGGGAAAGAUUAUGUUAUGUGUAGCAAAAUAAACUUGAUAAAAAUAUAUAAUAUUUGUUUUAUAUGAUAUUAAUUUUUAUCAUUCUACUAGAAAAGGAAAAGAUAUUUACUUUCUCACCCCAAUUCAGUUUUACUAAUAACGCUGCGAAGACAUUUUCCUUCGCUUUGAUUUUCUAAAAAUUAAUUUUUCAGUAUAUUUUUUUAAAUUUUAUCUGAGAAUACUUUUAAUAAAAUACUAUUUAUUAUGAAAAUAGUUUCCCACGCUUUUUUGAAUAACCAAACACCCCGACUAGGGUUAGCAUUAUUCUUAGAGUUUAAAUUAAAUU
rnacentral:lncRNA from 1 species